rnacentral:lncRNA from 1 species
UUGACUUGCUUACUCGUUAGAGUAGGAGUCACGAGAGAGCAGAGCGUACUGCCCUACCAUAGUCGCGAGUCUGUUUAUAGUCACGACUGUUGUCAUAGUCAACAAGGUUGAAACUUCCAGGAAAAGUGGAAAACUUAAAUACAUGAGAAGGAAUGGAAACUAACCGUGGUAACCGAAAAAACCUAAGGUUAGGUAACUGUUAAAAAAUAAUUACAAUUAAUUACAGUACCCUCCCCUUAAGUUGGAUAAUGGAUACUCAUUAUUCCAAGCUUGAAAAUGGAAUUUUUAAAAUUAGCAUGAUGCAAAGGUUUGGUGAAGAUAUCUGCCGGUUGAAUACAAGACCAAAUGGGAAGAAGAUGGAAAAGUUGAGCAUUUAGCUUCCCUCGGACAACAUGACAGUCAAUGUCAAUAUGCUUGAUUGUCACACUAUAAAAUUGUAGUAGCGUUAGGCUUACUAUGGAAAUCAUUAAGAAGAUGAGUGAUCCAUUGAACCUCACAAGUAGUAGUGGCAAGAGCACAAUAUUAAGAUUCAGAUGAGGAACGAGAGACGGUGGUUUACUUUUUGGACUUCCAAGAAAUAAGAGAAGUGACAAGAAAUAUGGAAAGGCCAGUCAUAGAUCGCCUUGUCUUUGGACAUGAAGUUCAAUUAGAAUCACUAAAGGCCUUCAAUUGAAUGUUAUUGUUAUCAGUAAAAAAAAAAAACCUUGUGCAGGGUUGACUUUUAUGUACCGGAGAAUAUGUUGAGUAACUUGAUGAUGAUGAAUAGUUGGUUGUUGAAAAAAUUGACUAAGGAGAUGCACAACAAAAAUGUUAUUGUUAGCAGCAAAAAGAAAUACCUUGUGCAGGGUUGGCUUUUAUGUACCGGAGAAUAUGUUGAGUAACUUGAUGAUGAUGAAUAGUUGGUUGUUGAACAAAUUGACUAAGGAGAUGCACAACAAAGGUGAUGUCAGGACAUGUGUUGGUUAAGUCGAGAAGCUGCCCAAUUAAUAUGCGAUAGGAAUUAACAUUGCGAAGAAUAGGUUUGUCUUCAAAUAGGACUUUGGUAUCACAAAUAAAAGGAGUAGAGGAUGGCUUGCUGACAAGCAUUUCGCAUUCAUUGAGAAUGUCAAGAGCAUACUUACGUUGACAUAUAUGUAUACCUUUUGUUGUUCUAGCAAUCUCCUACCUGAUAAAAUACUUGAGCUGACCCAGAUCUUUAAUCUUAAAGCUGGAAUGUAAAGAGUUCUUUAUACAAUUGAUUUCAUCCAUGGAAUUUCCAGCAAGGAUGAUGUCAUCUACAUAAACAAGUAAAGUAGUGAAAGUACAUGCAGUCUUUUUAAUGAAUAUGGAAUAAUCUGAACUAGAUUGUAUAAAUCCAACAGAAAUAAGAAAUGAAGAUAAUUUGGCAAACCGUUGCCUAUUUGCCUAUUUCAGCCCAUACAAAGACUUGGUUAAUCUACAAAGUUGGUUAGGUUUAGAGGUGAUAAGUCAUGGAGGUGAAAACAUAUAGACUUCUUCAUCAAGGUCUCCAUGAAGAAAAGCAUUGUCCACAUCCAAUUGAUGUAGGUGCUAGUUAUAACCAGAAGCAAGAUCAAGUAAUAAACAAAUAGUGGUUAGCUUAGCUACUGGAUAAAAAGUAUCUAAAAAAUCUAUGCCUUCUAAUUGAUUAUACCCUUUAGCAACUAAUCGUGCUUUAUACCUUUCUAUGGAAUCAUCUGAUUUGUAUUUUAUCUUGUAAAUCCAUUUGCAUCCAAUAGGAGUCUUGUUAGGAGGUAAUUCAGUGAUAUACCAUGUUUUAUUAGCUUGAAGAGCACAAACUUCUCUGUUCAUAGUUUCCAUCCAACUAGAGUUUCUUAUUGCUUCCUCAUAAGUGUGGGGUUCAACAUGUGAAGAAAUAGCCAAAGUAAAGUUCCAAUGUUUGUCAGAUAGAAAAUCAUAUGUCAAAACAGAUGAUAUAGGGUAUUUGAUCUUGAAAUUAGAAUUAGAACCUUUGUGCAUAUUGGCAACUUGAUGGUGAUAAUCAACAGGAUAUGAGGGAACUUUCUUUAUUUUUCUCGAGCGUCACAGAUCACUCCAGGACCAUUUUGAAUAACAAUAUCAGAAUCUUUAGCAGAGAUGUUACUGUUACUAUCUACGUUAUUGGAAUUGUUAUUUCCUGUCAUAUUGUCAAUAUAGUUUGUAAUCUAUGAAAUUGAAUCAUCACUAUGAGUAAUUUCUGGUGUAUUAUCAGAAUCUUGAACAUGAACAAUAUAACCUGGAUCAUGAGCUUUUGUACUUCUAGAACAGUUAAUAGGUUCAAGUAAGAAAUUAACAUCAUCAUGAAUCAAACUAUCAUUAUUUUUACUGUGAUGAGUUGAAAAAUUGUAAGGAAAAAUGCUUUCAUAAAAGAUAACAUUUUUGCUAAUAAAAAUAUCUUUGCUUUUAACAUCAAACAACACAUAUCCUUUAAUGCCAAUUUUAUAUCCAAUGAAAACACUUUUUCUAGAUCUUAGUUCAAGCUUACUGCGAUCGUUUUCCAAAGUAGAAGCAAAACAUAACCAACCAAAAGUUUUAAGAUUUAAAUAUGUAUGUGGUUGGCUAUACAAUAUCUCAUAAGGAGACUUACCUUUCAAAACAUUAGAAGGAAGUUUAUUUAUUAAAUGAAUAACAUGGCUGAUAACAUAAAACCAGUAGAUUUUUGACAAACUUGAUUGAAAAAGAAGAUUGCGUGUGACAUUCAUGAUAUGUGCCUAAAAAAAUCAUGAACAAUAAUAAGAAAGUAUUUAUGACCGUGAAUAGAACUAAUAACUAUGGUCCCCAUAUAUCUAUAUGUAUGAGAUCAAAGGUAUUUAAAGAAACAGUAUCACUUAUUUGAAAAGGCAAUUUAUGUUGUUUAGCAAGGUGACAUAUAUCACACAGUUUAUCAUAAUUAGAAUUAACAUAAAAAAAUUUGUGCAAACUUGUUUAACAACAUGUUUGGAAGGGUGGCCUAAUCCAAAAUGUCAUAUGUCAAUAUCAUGUCAUUUAAAAUUAAGAAUAUUACAAUUUAUCAAAUAUUUUUCUUCAUGUAUGUUAACAGAAUCAUGAAGACAAUAUAAUCCUCCAUGCAUAUCAGCUUGACCAAUCGUCUUGAAAGUAAUAUUGUCUUGUAUCUAACAACUCUUAAGAGAAAAUAUCAGUUUGUAAUUAGAAUCACGAAUCAACAGAGGCACAAAAAUCAAUUUAAACACAAAAUUUGGUAUGUACAAAACAUUAUAAAUGGUAAGAUUAUUAGCAAUCUGUAUUGUUCCAACAUAUUUAGCAGUCACAUAUGAAUUACCAAGCAAUUUUAUGAAAACAAGUUUAAUUCUAAAAAAAAUUAAUAAAUUGAUUUUUAUCGUAAGUAACGUGAUCAGUGACACCUGCAGAAUCCUCUUUGUUGACCCUGUGUAUUUGGUUUACACUGUGGUUUGGUGAUUCUUGCAGCAAUUUCAAAAGUUGUUGGACUUGUUUAGUAGUAAAAGGAUUAUUUUGUCUAAUAUCUUGAUCACUGUUGUUUCUAUGAAUUUGACUUCCAUAAUUUCUUAGAGUGAUAUUGCUCACUACUUUUCUCCCUUUCAGAUUGAUCAUUUCUUUGCUUGUACCAUGGAGGAUACCCAUUCUUCACAUAACAUUCAUCAAUUGUGUGAUUCAAUCUGUGACAAUAUGAGCAUUGUUUUCCUUGAUUAUAGCUUCUACCUCUACCUCCUUUCCAAUUGUUAUUUCUGCCUUGCAGUUUCCAACUCCUUUGAUCUUGUAUUUUCCAAUUACUUUGUUUAUCAGUGCCAUUCCAAUUUUUUGUUUCUCAAGAAGAUUAAUCACAACUCUAUUAUCCAAAUUCCCAAUUCCAUUAAACUGGCGUUCCUCCUGAAUCAACAAAGAAAACACACGACUAAUGUUGGGAAGAGGUUCCAUCAUCAAGAUUUGGGUUUUCAUAGCAUUAUAAACUUGGUCAAGCCCUUUCAGAAAAUAUAUAACGCACUCUAAAUUUCUAUAAUUGUGAGACAUUCUUGACAUAUCACAUUUACAGGUACCACCACAUGUGCAUCUUGGUAUAGGUUUGAAAUAUACCAAUUCUUCCCAAAGAAUGUUCAUAUCAGUAUAAAAUUGGGUAACAUUUCUCUCACCUUGUUUGGUGGAGUGAAUUUCUUGGAGUAAAUAUGAGUUGCGAAAAUGGUUGCCUCUUGAAAAACGUUCCUUCAAAUCAUCCCAGAUAUUAUUGGCAAUGUCUAUGUAAACCACACUCUCGACAAUUUGUGUAGACAAGGUGCGAUUGAUCCCAGACAAGACCAUCACAUUACACCUCUCCCGUGCUUCAAACAACAAAUUAUGGCGCUCUGACAUGUCAAUACUGCCAUCAACAAAUUUCAAUUUGUUUUUUCAACAAGAGCGCUCUUCUCAUAUUUCUACUUUAAGAGUGGUAAUUUUGCUUAUUGAGUUGAGGAUUAACAAGAACAACUCCAGGAUUCUCAUCGGGAUGAAGGUAAUAAGCACUAGAAGGAUCCUUGAAAACAUUGAUUUCAGAAACCUUGGGCUCUGAAACAUCGGUCUUGGAAAUUUAAGAAGCCAUGGAAAAGAAAGAACGAACAAGAACACAAAAAACAUAAACAAAAGGAUUAAUGGAAAGGACCACAACGAAAGCAAAGCAGGUUAUAGGUUUUUUUUUUACCUGCUUUGAUACCAUACGAAAAACAAUAUUUCCUUCCAAGAUUAUAAAAGAAACAAUUUGUAUUCAUAAUGAAUCAGUAAUGAAAAAUUUAAAUGAAUAAAAGAUCAAAUGUUAUCGUGCUUAAGCUUGCUGGAAAACGUAAACUUCAUGUAGCAGAUGAUCAAUAAAAGUCAUAUCUCAGAAUUUUUAUUUCCUUUUGAUGUAUUUUUACAAACAACAGUAAAAAACUUAAAUACAUGAAGCCAUGAUAACUAAAAAAAACCUAAUGUUAGGUGACUAUUAAAAAACAAGUAAUUACAAUAAAGUCAUAUCAACUUAACACGACUUACCUAUUUUAACUAUUUUAAUAAUUUUGUAAAAUUUUAUUCAUUUCAAUAAUUAAUCUAUUAAAUUGCACUAGUUUAAUAAAAAUAAAUCAAUUUGUGUAGAUAAUUGUGGCAGGGGAAAGUGGGUGGGAUGACAUUGGUGGUGAGAAGGCUAACAUGGAAAGUGCAGCAGUUGCCUUAGGAAGUGAGAUGUGAGAGAUGAGUACAUCACAGCCAUCCAUACUGAAUGAGGGGUGAGAAUGAAGAGUGGCAUGUGAAGAAAGAAAAAAAAUGUGUCUUAGGUAAUGAAGGCAUUGACAUCUAGCUAUAGUGCUACUGUAACAAGCUCUGCUUCAAAUAAUUGUUUGCUAUUGCUUGUGAUGGAAUGGAGUAGUUGUGAUUCAAAACUUUCAACAUCACUAUUAUGUGCUUCUUAAUGUUAUCUUUGUUGGUUUGUCAUACUAUUUCUGAGAGGUUAAUUGAAGAAAUUCUCUCAUGUGAAUGAAUUUUCUAACCCCUAUUCUAUUUACCAAUCUCGAUGAAACUUCACCACUAUCACUUGUUGGUGGAACAAAUUAUUACAUUUUCUCAAAUGUUAUGUGUUUAAGAUGAUGACUAAUUAAUAAUAAUAAUUAAUUAAUAUUUUAAUGUGAUACAUAAAUAAAAUACUUUCUUCGUUCUAUUUUAUAUAUAUGACAUUUAGGACGUUUGAUACAAGAUAAUUUUUUAGUCUUUUUUAAAUAUAAAAUGAAAUAAAAAAAUUGUAUAUUUGGUUUAUGUUUUAUAAAAAAGCUGGCAAUUUUUUAACUUAGUUUUCCAAGAAAUUACUUUUAUGAAGAGAUGAGAAUUUAACUUUUCUAAGCUAAAAAGGUUUUUACUUUAAUAAAACAUCAUAACACUCUUAUUAGAUAAUUGUAUGUUAUAAAUAAUUAUUUUUUAAUAAACAUAUCAUGUUACUUUUACUUUAAAAAAUUUUAUAUAAAUAUUUCUUUUCAAAUUUAGCGGGUCUUAAAAAUCAUGAUUAUCAAAAUCCAUGAUCUCCGGACAUGAAAAAAAAAUAAUCUGUUUUUAAACUUCUCCUUAAGGCUUUAGCCAUUAAUAAUUUUUAAUUAUUUGCUCAUUUAUUUAUAAUGCACGAAGUAUUGAUUAAAAGUAGUUGGAAGGAAAAUAUUUAAUGCAAGGUUGGAUUUUUAAACACUAAAUUAAAUAUGAAAAUGAAAACGCUGGUACCUUCUUAAAUGGUAUAAAUGCCUAAUUCCAACAAUAGAAUUUCAACGUAAAAUUUUUAAGAAUUCUUCAAAUACUUUUUGUUAUAGUUUUUAUAAAAUUUAUUAAUAUCUAACUCGUAAAAAAUAUAUUUUAAAAUUAUAUAAUUUUAAAGCAUACAUAUCAAUGUAAAAGUACCUCUUUAUUCUUGAUUAAUAUUUCAACAAAGUGAAUUUUCGUCACCAAUAAAUAUGUUACGGAGUAUUGCUAAUAAUAGUUCAAAAUUAAUCCUAAUUUUCGUAUUGAAAGGGAUAUAAUCAGAAGAUAUAAUGAGAAUUUGAAUAUUAAACCCCUUGAAGCGGAGAGAAAAUUAAUCCUUUUUUUUAAAUUAUAAUAUAAUUUUUUAAAUAAUUUGAUGUUAAAAAAAUAUUCUAUUAAAAAUUAUAUUUUUAACCAUAUUAUGAAUUAUUGUGUAAAUGAUGAAGUAUUUAGUUUUUUGACUGUCUUUUCAAUUUAUCCAAACAUGCAAAUAUAAACUUUCUGUUUUCUUUCUUUCUUUCUUAUUUUUAUUCUUCGAACAAACUAUAUUUUGUAGUGUCAUUCUCCUAUUUUCCCUAUUAUUACUUUUUUUCUCUAUUUCACUUUUCUUCCAAACAUUAUUCUUUCAGACACAAAUAAUUUAUUGUCUAAUAAAGACUAGCUGUUAUUUUCAUGAAAAAUGAAGAAUAUUUUAAUUUUGUGAUGAUUUGUGCUUCUAUGAAAUGGGUCGGCAAUAGUGGGGAUUGGCGUUGGCUUAAAGGGAAAGAAGAAGACCAAUUGAAAGAGAAGUGAGAAUUCCAAUAAUAUUUCAUAGUAGAAGCCACACCAACCCAAUAUCCCACCAUUCUAAACUUCUUCCUAAAUUCACAAAGCAUAAUCAUAACAACAAAACUACAUUAAUCUAUGUUCAUUGUCUUCAUAUACUAAUUCUGUAAACAAGUUAUGUAACAUUUUGUAUAUGUAUCAUUUAGGAUCACUAUUUAAGAACAUGCGUGCACAAUAAGAUUAAGAAUACAACUUCUAAUGUUCCUUUCUCCUCAAGAGAUUCUAACUAAAUGAAAAAUGGAAAGAAACGAAAAAUCCACUCAUGAAUUUGAAGAUUGGACAACUCCUAUUUGAUGUUGCAACUGAGAUUGAAGCCUUGGACGCAACAAAUAGAGUAUCAUUCUUUUGGUACAUCAUGGCUCUUAGAGAUAACAAAUAAUGUUGGACAUGUAUGUUUUUGUGUCUAGGAAAUGACAAAAAGAACAUUCGGUACAAGGUUAUAGUCAUAUUUACCAAUUUAUUUAUCAAGAGAGAAAAUAAUUGUUGCUUCUUUUUGUUAAACAAAUCCUAAACAAUAAUCAUCCACUUUUUGAAUUUUGAGAAUUCAUGAAUGAACCUAUUGACCAUAUCUAAACUUCCCCUAUAAAUACUUAGCAUAGUUGCUUCACUCUUCACAUAUACCUCAAACAAAUACCAAGUGUAGCUCUUGUGGAAAACUCACAUGAGGAUACAAGUGAGACCCCCUCUUUCCUCCUCUUUCAUUCUAAGUUGCAUUUUGGUUUCAUAUAUGCAAUUCUUUGCUGCAUAUACUUUUAGAGCUUAUGCAUGAAAAACCCUUGACAAAUAUUAUAGAAUUACAUGUUGUGUGCAUCUACCUUUAUUUUCUACUCUUUUUCUAAGGGGUGUUUUGUUUUACAGGUAAUUAUAUUGGUUUGUGCUCUUCUUUUGGUGACACUGCUAAGCUCAGAGGUAGCUGAGAGCAGAAAAUCCAAAACUGGUAGCACUUCCUUCGAGUACAAAGCUAUAAAUUGCAGAGCUUAUAGUGCUUCAUUGACAGAUUUUGGUGGUGUUGGAGAUGGAAAGACAUCAAAUACAAAGGCCUUUAAGUCUGCAAUCAGUCAUCUGAGUGAGUAUGCUUCUAAAGGGGGAGCCCAGCUCUAUGUUCCUGCUGGAAAAUGGCUUACUGGGAGUUUUAGUCUUUCCAGUCAUUUCACUCUCUAUCUCAACAAAGAUGCUGUUCUCCUUGCUUCUCAGGUAUCUCUCUCAUUUUGUUCAUUCUUUGAUAACUAAGUAAUCACAAAUAUGAGAUUCAUGACCUGGUCAACAUUCAAGUUCUUGAUUUGCAACCACUAUAGUCCUGUUUCUCUUGCUGAGAUCAGUUACACCGUUUAGUUUCAGUUAAAAAUCAAAUCCUCACAAAUAUUGUUUAGUAUAAGAUCCUUUUUAAUAAUUUCUUCGAAUUUUCAAUGUUUUUCUUAGUCUCCUUCUAAACCUUUUUACACAAAAAAUCUUGUAAUCUAUACUUUCUAUAAGUGCUUCUAAUAACCUUCUAUUCACAUGUCCAGAUAAUGUUAACUGAUUUUCUUACUAAACCACAAAUGUCAAUUUCUUUGUAUGUUCUCAAGGUGUUAUACUGUUCCUCUAUAGUGGAAAAAAUUAUUCUACUGAUUCUGGUAUUUAAACUACUGUUUUUUCACCCAGUUGUCUUCAUAUGCCCUUUCUUGCACCAUUCCUUGUGGCAGCAUUUGGGGAAAACUAUUUUCCAAAUCUGACAAAAUAAAAAACAACAAUAAGUCAAGGAAGUGAUGCUAUUAAGCUUUCUUUGGGUGCAUGGGAAAGUAAAUUAUGUGAGUGAACUUCAUUGAUGGAAAAUUAGUAAAACUAGUUUGUUAUUUAUCGCUGUCAUAGUGUCAUGGACAAAUGCCUUACUGAUGAAAUUGGACAUAUACCUUUUUAAAGGGAUUCACUUGAGUUACAAAUAAGGUAAAAUGUUGGAUAAAUGAAAUUCAAACGUGUGACAAGGUUCCUCACUUUUUACUGUUACUGGAAAACUAUGCUAUCAAAGCAAUAUUGUGAAGUAACUGGUGAAAGCAAUUUACAAACUCCCAAACCUUUGAUCAACUAAAAACUGUUCAAAAACUCACUUGAUGGCAAUUCUGGUUCCAUAGGAAAGGAACCUUUAAUCCCCAAAAUCACGUCAAUUUUCAUCCCUGCACUUUUGGUUAUUCCUCCUAUAAACUAUCUCAGUGCCAUAGUGUGGUCCAAUACACUUUUUGUCUUUUUUUCAUAGGGGAACAGUUCGUAGUGUGGCACAUUUUUUAGCCCUUUCAUGUGCAACACCACUAACCAAAGUUUUUCUUUGUAUUAGUUAUUGAUCAUUAAUAUAAAUUGGUGUAGGAUAUUAGUGAGUGGCCUGUGAUUGAACCACUCCCAUCGUACGGUAGAGGAAGAGAUGCAGCAGCAGGAAGGUACACCAGCCUCAUAUUUGGAACAAACCUCACUGAUGUUAUUGUCACAGGUAUGCAAAAAGUUGCAUGCAUGAAACAAUUAUCGAAGUAGUAGUUAAGGGUUGGUGAACCAUUUCAGAAAACAUGUGUUAACCAUCUAAACUUUGAAUUCCAAGUUGCCAAAAUUUCUUGCUCUGAUUCAAUGUAUUCCCAUUAGACUUUCUUCCCUUAAACAUUUUAGAUUAGUUAAUUGUUUAAUUUAAUAUUUAUACUCAAUGUAUCUCUCAAGAGCUACUUUGAGUCAAAUUAGACAGGUAGUUAUUUUCAGAACAGGCUGGUUGAUCAUUUGUGACUAUGAUCAUACUACAACCCUUUUUUGGUCCAAUGAGAUGAUUUCUUAAAUGCCAACAAAAGAUUAUAUCAAUUUCAUGUUAUUUAAAAAAUUUCUGUAAGUUUAAUGUUAUUAAAAUUGAUGUCACUAUUGGGGUGAUAGGUGACAAUGGCACCAUAGAUGGUCAAGGAGCAUUUUGGUGGCAGAAAUUUCACAAGAAACAGCUGAAGUACACUCGUCCAUACUUGAUUGAAUUAAUGUUCUCAGACAAGAUUCAAAUUUCCAAUUUGACCCUCCUAAAUUCUCCAUCAUGGAAUGUUCAUCCUGUUUAUAGCAGGUAAGUUUGCCCUCUCAUAAGCUCUUAUUCAAGUUAUAAAUGCCUUCAAGAUUACCCUAAGAAGCCUUUUUACAUCUCUGAAAUGUUGUUCCAAUUUCAAGAUUAUAAUAGUUUUUUCAACACUAUGCAGCAAUAUUAUUAUUAAAGGUCUCACCAUUAUCGCUACUCUCCCAUCUCCAAACACUGAUGGCAUCAACCCAGGUGAAUAUCUUAAGAUUAUUUGUGUGUUCCAGUGGAGAGAACAUGCCAAGUAAAAUAGUAAAAGGAACUGAUGUUAACCAUUUAAUUUACGUAAAUGUUAGUAUUAAUUUAGUGAUUUAUACAUGAUUGUAUGAUUAUAAAUAGUUUUUUUCACUCUCUCACCUAAUAUACAACUGACAACUUUUCUUGUAUCUAAUAAGUAUUUUAAAAAUUUAAAAUAUAUAAUAAAAAUAAAUUAAAAGAACAUUAAUUAUUUUCAUCAUUAACAAUAAAUAUUUUAUUUAAUUAGAUAGAAAUUAAUUAGAGAAAUGAAACUUUUAAAGUUGCGGAAAAAAUUAUGAAAAAGAUGGUAAGUCAAAACUUUGAAAUUUGCAUCCUUUCUUCAGAAACGUCACUAUAUGGUAGGUCAAAAUUUAAAAAUUAAAUUCAAAAUUACUUUUUAAGAUUAUAGUAAUCUUAAAAAUGCAACUUAUCCCGGGAGAAUAUCCUAAAUUUAAUAUAGUUUAUUGAGAGAAGACAAAUUCUCCAUAUGCAAUCAAUAAAUGGGUCUAGUUUGAACAAGUUUAUUUGAUUAAAUUCCUUUUAAAAAUAGGUAUAUUAUGAGAAAAAGUUCCUAGAUAUAAUUAAUUAAUUAAAUAGAAGGAAACUAAAAAGAAUCAGAUUUCAAUAGUAUUAAAACUAAUUCUAAGAACAGUGAGUGUAUUUUUCCUUGUUUUUGGCAAUAGAUUCUUGCACAAAUACCAGAAUUGAAGACUGCUACAUAGUUUCUGGGGAUGACUGUGUAGCAGUGAAAAGUGGGUGGGAUGAGUAUGGCAUAAAGUUUGGAUGGCCCACAAAACAACUAGUGAUAAGACGGCUGACAUGCAUUUCCCCAGAAAGUGCAGCCAUUGCCUUGGGGAGUGAGAUGUCAGGUGGAAUCCAGGAUGUCAGAGCUGAGGACAUCACAGCCAUCCAUACAGAAUCAGGGGUCAGAAUCAAGACUGCAGUAGGGAGAGGAGGGUAUGUGAAGGACAUAUAUGUAAAGGGAAUGACCAUGCACACCAUGAAAUGGGUUUUUUGGAUGACUGGUAGCUAUGGUUCCCAUGCUGAUAGCCACUAUGAUCCUAAAGCCUUGCCUGAGAUCAAAGGCAUCAACUACAGGGAUGUGGUGGCUGACAAUGUCACCAUGGCUGCUAGGUUGGAAGGAAUCUCCAAUGACCCUUUUACUGGAAUCUGCAUUGCCAAUGUGACCAUUAACAUGGCAGCCAAAGCCAAAAAACAGCCAUGGACAUGUACUGAUAUUGAAGGGAUCACAAGUGGGGUGACUCCUAAGCCAUGCAAUUCUUUACCUGACCAAGGGCAGGAUAACAUCAAAGCAUGUGAUUUCCCUGCAGAUAAUCUACCAAUUGAUUCGUUGAAGCUUAAAAAGUGUGCUUACCGAAUUAAACAUGAAUGACUACACUUGUGUUACAAUGUUUUAUAGUUAUUUAUUUAAGGCUAGUCUUUACCAUCUUAUCCACAAUCCAGAAAUCGUUACUCAUGUAGAACAAUGAAUUAUCUGUCAAAUUAUUGAAAUGAAACAAUUUUCUCUUUGCUACAAGCUUAUGAAAUGGCUUUAAGCUUAUUCGAACCUAAAUAUUAUGUUGUUACAUGAAUCAAACUGACUGUUAAGGUUUUGUUAAAAGGACCACUACACACGUAUGACUUAAGAAAUUUUAAAAAUUAUUUCGAAUACUAACAAACCAUUACAUUUUAUGUCAUACAAUGGGAAUAUGGGAUAAUGUCUAAAUGAAAAGUUGUGUAUUUUUACGGGUGUAAAGGAUAGAAAGACUGGCAAGAUAAAGGAUAGAAAGUUCAGUGCACGGUCCUCGAGUCUAGUUGGAGCUUAAGGAUAAUCAGCUGAAAAACUGAGUAUAACUGCACAUCUUCUGAUCCUUUCCUCGGUAAAUCACAACAAUAUGAUUAUCUAAGAAUCUGAGAUGAGACUGAAAUGAAAGAAACCUCACAACAACCUCAGAUAUGUCCAAAAUGUUUCAUGUUCUGUGGUGCUCUGCAACUUGCCAAAGUAGUGUCAUAACGUAUAUUAGUUAUCAGGUAUUUCACUAAGCAUAUACAACAUAAAUACAAAAUCUCAGUACUGGUGGAAGAGGAUUGAACUUCACAGAUUCUCUCUAGAUGAGUUCCUUGAUAUCUUCUUCAGUGAAUGACGGUUGCUCAAAGUCAAAACUGAAGGGUCUAGUGCAAACGGGUUCCUUAUUGAUGUCGUGGAGAGGUGCCAUGUAUGGGUGGCUCAAUGCCUCAUCGACUGAAAAUAAUUGAGAAUAGGAUACAAUUAAUAAAAAUAUAGACAAAAGAAAAUCUCAUUAUUUAUAGAUAUAAACACUCUCAUUGUAAAAUAUUUGUACAAAGACAUCUAAUAAGAAAUCACUAUAUUGCCACAUCAUCAUUAUCAUCAUUCUGGUAUGUAUGUUGUUAAGAAACAAGACAAGAAAAUUUACAUCUGUUGGUGCUAAAGUUCUCAUAAACUGGUCUUUCACAUCUGCCCCCAUAUCAUUCCUAUUCAUAUACUGCUCCAGGAACAAUAAAAGUCACAUUCAUAAAACUGGGGAAAAAGUUUUGCAAGCCGAAUACCUGUAAUACGCCUGUUAGGAUCAAAGAUAAGCAUCUUCUCUAGCAAACCAAUCGCACCAGGAGACAUGUUGGGAAAUCUAGCAGAAAAGUUUUGCUUUGGAUACUGGGGAAGCUGUUUUACAUAUCUACGAGCAUUAUCACUUCGUAUAAAUCCAAGGCUCGCAUCAUCGGGUGAACCAAUCAGGUUGUUGAAAGAAAUGAGAAUUGUCAUUGUAGUGUUAGUUCUAAAUCAGAAAGAAAUCUAAAAGGCAUCAAAGAAUGAAAAUUUACAUCCUACCAGGAAACCGUAUAAUCCGAAUCUAUUGAUAAGCUAGAACAGAAUGGGUCAAUGACUAUAUAAGCAUUCUUAAUUUAAUCAAUUAUCAUUUCUUACAUAUAUGAUUCCUUAGGUUCUCAAAAGGAAAAAGGAAACCAAGGGUACAAAAGUAGUCAUAGAGAGUACAAUUCUUUAAUGUUUUUCAAUAAAAAUAUUAUAUGAUCUACUCUACUAGUAAAACUACUGUAAAGGCAAGGACCACAAAUACCUUGUCCAUAAAUAAAAACCUAUAACAUUUCAGAACUUCAAAACUGGUAUACAAUUUUUUAAUUUUCCAUUUCAACAUGGUGAUACAGGUCGUAAAUCCAGAAGACAUAAGCAUAAAGAUCCAAAAUCUUAUUAAUGUGAUGCAUCUUUUUCAUUUAGGAAUAAGUGAUAUGAGUGAGGCACAGUUUUUGUUUUCAUAUUAUUUUAUUUCAAAAUAAAAUUCUUAUGCCACCAGACCUGAAACCUUUGGCAGACACCAUUAAAAUAUUCAACCCUUCAAAACUCAGUUGUUUUUUCCUUGAAUUUUCCCCAAAUCCUAUCAUACUAAACCAAAGAGAUCAAUUUGAUGGAAAUAAACAAAAGGUUCAAAUUCAUCAAAGUACCAACAUCAUUUCAGCAAAGCUUGACACCCAAAAUUUACAAUUGCAUAAAGCUGUAGAAGUUGGAACUCUAAUUUACAAGUAAAUCCAACUUCCAGAUCAGAAAUACAAAAACUAUGCUACACUGCCAGAAGCUUUAAAGACCACACUAAGUCCAACCAGUGUAAUAGAUUAUGUGGACCCCAAAUAGGAGACCGACACCACCUAGUACACAGACUGAGCUUCAUUUAGUCUUCCAAAGUUCCAGGCUCUUCAGGAUGUUCAUAAGUAAAAUUAUAUUUUACCUAUUGAUUUGAAAAAGAAAACAUCGAAUGUCAUUAACAAAUAUAAUUCAAAGCAAGAAGAUUAAAAUUACUAAGAAAAUUCUAGGGUAAUUCAGCAUAUCAAUGUAAAUUGUAAAGCAAAUUCGUAUUAAAAUAUUUUCUCUAGUCUGUUGUAGAGGAGGUGAAGAACAUUAUACACAUUCAGCUCAGAUUUAUUUUUACAUUUUUCACAUAACUGGAGAACAAAGUCUUGUCCACAAAUAUUAAUACAGAUGAAAAUCAAAGCAUAAUCUUUCUAAUGAUUGAGUUUAUUAAUAACAAUGUAAUGAAGUCACAAAUCAACACCAAAAAAGGUAGAAGACAAUUUUCAGCAAAAGAAUACCUCAGAUAAAAGUUAAUAAUAGGUCUACGCUUUAGAGAGUGGCUACCAUAUAAUGUUUAUAUGCAAAGUAAAAGAGAGUAAUCAGGUAAGGUAUUAUCCAUGCAAAAUGUUAUUGUUCAAAUCCUGAACAUAAGAAGAUAUGUAUCAUUGUAGAGGCACAAAUUCAUGUCCUGUGUCAUGCAAAUUCAUUAGUUGGCUCGAGUUUAAAGCAUACUAAAAGAAAUUAACUUACGUCAUUGACAUGAUAUUGGAAGUAAACUUUGCAAAAAAAUGUUUAAACAAUGCAACAACACUAUUGUAGCUGUCACAGCUCUAAACAUUGAACUGCAAACAAAAUACUAAUUUAGUUUGACAGGAAAACCUAAAACUCGAGCCUAUUAAACUAAGAUGGAACCACUUGACACAUGUGCAAGAUAGCAUACUCACGCCAGAGAUUUAUCUUCAGAAUAUCUACUAAGCACUUUAUUAUCUCCAGUUUGUGUAACUAUACAACCAAAGGAGAGUAAGCUGUUGCUAUAAAGUCUACAAACUACAUAGAUUAAAAAUCAUAUGUUCAAACUAACUAAUUAAAGUGCUAACCCAACAAUGGUCAUCAGUCAGUGGUUGAUUGGAACGCAUUAUUUGAUGGAGAUCUGUGUCCAUUAACUCGGAAACAAGGUAUACAUCAUUGAAGUUUUCCUUAUGUGGAGGUCGUAUAAUAUCUCUAAUGGACAUACUCUGCAUUGAAAAAAUAAUUGAUAAGCAGUAAUCUUAGCAAGUUGAAUGCUACUGAAAAUUUUAGAGUCAAAACUCAACGAGGAAAACCCAAUCAAACACCUUUCAUGAAUCAAAGACAUGUAUAGCUAGAGAACUAGACAAGUAUUUUCGACAACUAAGAUCAAAUGAUUUUACAAUAAACUGACUUCAAUAAAUGAAACCUUCAUACUAAAGCUAAUCACAAUCCGCAUUUAAGCCUACAAAAAACAUUUGAAUAAAAUUAUAGCAAUGAUGUCAAGAAAGUCCAACUCAAAAGUAUGCUUUACCAUAAAUAUUUAUUUUAUUCAAGAAUAUAUCUGACUAUGCUAAAUUGAGAUUGUAAGACUAUAAAGAUAGAUAAAUAGCACUAACUAGGUUGCUUAGUUUGUUAAAUGUUGGGCCCAACAGAUCACAAAUCUACGCAUAAGGUGGAAAUAUUAUGUAUAAGAAAAGCCAUAGUGGUGCAUCAGUGCAUCACAUCCCAUGAUGCUGCACUAUGUCAUUUCUUCUUGUUCAAUAUGCAACAUAAAUGCUACAGAUCAAAGCUUUCACAGAAGCAACAGAAAAUGGGGAAGAAAGAAAGUCACAUGGACGAGAAAGUGAACUCCUAGUCAGACCCCAAAUUUAAUACACAAUCCACAACAUAUACAUUGUACUCCAUGUAACUGAGUCUUAAAAUACCAAGAACUAUGACAUUAGCAGCUCCAGUAUGACAUGAGUACCCAUGGAUACCAACAGAAUGAUCGUAUCUCAUUUUCUACUUUGACUCUAGCAAAUCAUAGUAUCAAUACAACUAAUUAAACAACAGAAACAAAAUCUGAAGAGAUGAAAGUCUACACACUUGGCAAACAUUUUAAAAUCUACAAAAACAGUGUCUGAGAAGGAGUAACACACGAUUCAUCUCAUGAAUCCCAUCAAGACAAGUCAAAUUGGAAAGAAAAAUAAAACUAAGAAAAAUGUAAGAAUUUGAGUGCAAAACCGGUCUCCUUCACCAUCAAACUAAAACAACCAAUCCAAUCUUCAUUCACUCACAACCAGAUCAAACACAAUAAAAGAAUGACAAAAUUCUAAAGCCAAAAAAGUUAAUUACUUAAUUCUUAACAGAUGGGGCUUGAUCAGUAACAAAAACUAGUCCUUGCUCCUGAAGUCAGCUAAUCCAAGACCAGAAUAUGAAAGUACAGUAUCAUAUCUCAAACCAAGAAAACCCCUUUACUCAAAAGCUAACAAACAACAAAACUAUGUAAUAAAUUUAGCAAAAGAAAAUACCUCCCAGAAAAAAAGACUUUUUGACUUACCAAACAAGAACCAUAAGCACCUCUACCCACAGGGAGAAUAGGAGGGACAUACUUUCUGGAAACUUCGAAGAGGUUGCCAUUGCCAUAGAUAUUGUACUGAAUGUAGCGUCCAUCAUGAGUUGGUAACCCUUUGAUGUUGGUGUGGUCACCUGACUCAACAGCAGAUAUGUCUUGUAGCCGAACUGUUUUGAAAAUGUGGUUUGAUAAUUAAAAAUUGUUUUAGGUUUGAUUAUUUGUCUUUAAUUUGUGAUCGAAAAAUGGAUUGAUAAAUCACUAUUGAUACAAUACAAGAGGAAUAAAACUAUAACAUAACAGGAUAUGUCGAAAAAUUGAUCAUAUGAUAAAAUCCAACCAAUACAAAGCUAAUUGAUUAGAUAUAAGAGGCAAAGGUUGUACAGUGGAUUUUAUUCCAAAAUUUGGAUGACAAAAUUCUAGCACAAUGCCAUCCAAGACCACUUAUCAGGCCCAAAUACAUACAGCUAAGGAACAAUGGGAGAAGGAACAAUUUGCAGUUUUCUGCGGACAUCUUCCAAGUCUUCAUGAAAAUGCUGCUCAUAAUACACACACAUAAGAUCAAUGCAUUGCAUGCCAGCACGAAUAGCCCAGAGGAAGUAAUGCCGAUAGAACAUUUUCCUCUGUUUUUCACUGAAUCUAGCAGUGCCCCCUACAACGGACAGCAGGCAGAUAGGAAGGCCCAUCUGCUCAAACUCAAUAACCUUCAACGCUGUCUCCCCAAUCAAGUUAGUAGGAAGGUCAAAAAGGGUAUGCCAGAAGUCAUGCACUUCACGAGCUCUCAUUGUUACAUAGGCCAGUUCAUCUGUAUCCAUGAACCGCACAGGAGGUCAAUCAUCUGGUGAAAAGUUCCUAGAUCCCAUAAACCUAGCAUAGGCAGCACCGAAUGUGUUUUCCGGCAGGUCUCAAGCAUGUCCGACGUUUGCAGAAACAACACGAGGGCGCUCCAAUAACACAGCCUAUAAAUCAGAAUUAUAAAAGAAAAAUAUUAGUUGUAUGCUUCAACAGGCAAAAAAGAAUGCCCGGUUAAUUUGGUGAUAACAAUGACAGUAAUCGUUUAGUGAUAAGUGAUAGCUGUGUAUAAUCACUUUAAUCAAUGAGUAAGAUCAAGGGCCAACCAUCAAUGGAUCCUGAACUCUUAGUUAUCCCCAGAAUAAAUAAAAUAUGGUUUUCUGCUAGUACUUGCCAUAGAGCAUCCAAUAAAAAGUAAAUUAAAUAAAUCAACAUCCAAGACAACAUGGGCAAGAAGAAUAUCCACAUUAACCAAAAACAAAUAAGAGUAGAAUAAAAUAAACUAGCUCACCCUCCCUUCAGGAGAACUCUUCAUCCUCUGAAGAGCUUUCUCAAAAGCAGGUUUUCCAGUCGUCUCACCAAGAGCCGCUAUCAGAUCUGCUCUUCGAGGGUCCAACAAUGCUCCUACUGCCGAACCCAUUGCCACAGCAGCCGGCUGCCUUGUCUUCAACCGGAUUCUACUACCUUCUAUCAUUGUAGAAUGGUCUAAAUGUUGCUUCAGAUUGGUUGUGAUUAUACAAGAGGAUUUCGAGACCUUUCGUUAUACACUAAAGAGAAAUACAGCAAUCCUUAGUUGAUUGGCGGGCAUGGUUACCAAACUCGCGAGUUAACUCGUCGAAGUUUACGUUACCACUCACCCUGGGCAAGUUGACUCGGAAGCAAGCUCGGCAAACUCGAUGUGAACUCGCGAGUCUGCAACCGAGUUGGCGAGUUGAGAGGGUUUUUUCUUUAAACCCAAAACGGCCCCGUUUCUGAACCCAUAAUCAGACAAACUCGCCUAGGUUGCUCGCAUUAGGGUUCGUGUUCGCGUUCUUCGUGGUGGUGCGUCUCUGUUCCGAUCGUGGUGGCGUUCGUAGUCGCGUUCUGUCUUUCGUGGUCGCCUCUGCUCAUGGUCUCUGUUCCGUUCGUCGUGGUCAUCUGGUAAGAUUAGGGAUGUAACAUAGUGUUUGCUUCGCCAUAUACGUAGGAGAGAACGCAAACACUAAUGUUAUUUUCUCAGUCGGGAGUGGAAAGUUGAGCUCUCGGUAAUACUAAUGUUAUUUUGGAUUAGAGAGUGGAACUAGAGUGUGGAGAAGAAUGAAAGUUUAAAAGUUUAAGCCUUUGUUUGGAUUCGAGGUUCCGGGUGAGUGGAAAGUUGAGGGUGUGGGUGAGUGGAAGUGUGAAAAAAGUGUAGAGAAAGUUAAGGGUGUUUGGAUUAAGAGAUGUUAUAGUGGAUGUGUCAAGAAAGUUUAUUGAAAAGUGUGAAUGAUGUUAUAGUUGUGAGAAUAUUUUAAUAUAUUUUGAAUAGUGUAAAUUAUAAGAUUACAAAUUUAUCCUUAUAUAAAUAAGAAAAUGAAAUAUUAAUUAGUUUAAAGAUAUUUAAGUUAAUUAAAAUAAUUAGUAUUAUAUUAUUUAAUUUCUAUUAUAUUAUAUAUAAUAAUAAAGUAAAGUUUUUUCAUGUGUGUAAAAAAAUAAUAAAAAAAUAUUAUUACUUUUGUACAUAAUUAAAAUAAUUGUAAGUUUCAAUUAUAAUUUAAAAAAUAAUAUAAAAUUGAAAUGAAUUAAAAAAAUAGAAUCUAAAAAUGAAAUAUGAAUUCUUCGUUUAUAAUUUUAUUAAUUGAAAAUAUUUGUAUUAGUAAAAAUUUUGUUUGUAGAUAAUUAUAAUAUUAUUAAUGAUUAUUUAAUAAAUAUUAUGUUAUAUAAAUAUAUAAUUAUUAUUAAUUAUGAUUUUGAUUACUAUUAAUAAUAACAUGAAUAUAAUUUAAGAAAAGAUGUCAUGAAUAUUAAUUAGUUGCAAAAAUAUAUAAAGUCAUUACAUUUGAUGUAGAGAGAGAUAAAUACAUGUUAAUUUGAAAUUAUAGAAAACUUAAAAACAUAAUAAUGUUAAGUAGAAAAAGAAAUGACAUCCCUAAUAAUAACAUUUUAACCCUUCUUGUGGAAACCUUCAAACGUGUUUCUAGAAGGCAUAUCUUAUUUCGUUGUCUGAUAAUGAUUGCAUCUUUGUCAUCGACAACGUCUUCAUUGUACCACUUGAAAAAAUUACAGCCUAAAACAAUGACAUUUGUAAUCUGUUUUGAGAAAAUAAUAAAAUUCAACAAUGAAAAAAUUUAAAUAACCAAAGUUAAGUUUGCAUGAAACUAAAUUGAAUUAAAUUUACCUUGUACUUGGGACAACCACAAAAUCGUUUUUCGGCAUUUUUUUCAGUUAUUGUUGUUCUCAAAACAGCAAAGUGUUCACAAUCACAAAUGGGAGCAACGAACGCACUUGUGCUCCCAGCAGCAUGGAUAAAAGUACCACGUGAUUUUGCACCACAACCAGUGCAACUAGAGGAUGAUCUCAUGUCAUGCGCAAACAUUGAAGGGUAUGUAAUGAAUGUUAUUAAUUUUCCAAUUUAGAUAAUGGACCCGAAAGAUUUACUUUAAUCAUAAUAGAAUUCAAAUCUUAAAGAACUUGCAUUUAAAAUAAAAUGAAGCUUAAUGUUAAAUAUGAAUUUCUCAAUGUUCAAGGUGAAAAAUAACAAAAAUAGCAAUAAUAAUGUUCAACCCGAAAAAUAGAAAUAAAAUAAAAGACAAUAACAUAAUGCAAAUAGACAAUCAAUGGCCUUGUUGACGAUGAAUCUGAUUCAGAGUAUCCUCCAAUCUGUCCAUCCUUUGAUCAUUCUGCUCCAUCCUUUCAUCAAGCCUGUCAAAACGAAUGUUAACGUUCCUCAUGCUUUCUCUCAUGUCUUGCAUCCCCGUCCAAAUUUCGGUUAACAUUUCAAUUCGACUGGGGAUUGCUGGUUGAGGUUGACCACCUUCAACAUCUUGUGCUGGCAAUUCAUCCUCUUCAUCAUCUUCUUCGUGUGCAUGGUGAGGUCUACCAAGUUGCCAUACACCAUUGACCUGGAAUAUAUUUAAUUUUGCCAUACUUUUUUUCCCAAAGUAAUGAUUCCAACCUAGCAUUAUUGGUUGCUCAUUCGACAAUUCGAAGUUAUACACCUACAAGAUCCCCUCGUGAUCAAAUUUGCAUAUGGGAGAGGCAUCUUGUUAUCCCGACAUUUGAUGAUGUGUUGCAUGAUGUAAUGAGGCCAAUUAAUGCGUACAUUAUUUUUUAUUAACCAUAACAUCAAAAUAUCUUCAUUCAAUAGUUGUGCAAAGUUGCUUCCACGAGGGCACAAGAUAUGCACCCAUAUGUAAUGCAACAGUCGGUCAUUCAUUUUCAGACUAUCGGCAUUUCUGAGAUUUUCACCUUCAACAUCUUCAUGAGUCAUGGACAAUAAUGUCAGUGCUCGAUCAAAAUUCAGUUCCUCAGGGAUCGUCUCAAGCGUUAACUUAAGACCGUCAUACUGGAGAUGAGCAAUGGUCAUCCAAUCCAUUUCUUUAAUAUGUAUCAUCCUUCCGCAAAUCUCAAUGGCAAGGUGACCAACAGGUGUGAUCUUUGCAUUUGUAUAAAAUACUCUUAUCAAGUCCUCAUAAUACGGAAGAUUAAUUCCAAGGAAAGGUUGUAAACCUUGCCAAUUCAAAAAAUUUUGGAAUUCAAAUCCUGGAGCAGCAAAAAAGGGAGUAUGCAUAACUUUUGGUGGUAAUACUGGUCUUGCGUGAAAGUUCUUUUCAAACACCACCAUUUGACGCUUGGUACUGAAGUAUCUUGAAUAAUUAAGAACUUGUGGAAUCCUCGUUGCUGGAGGAGGAACGUCAACAUCUUCUGCUGGAGAUUUACCCUUACGAAUUCUGUUACGUUUGUGGGAUGAUGAUGCCAUGUAUAAUGCAAUUACUACAAUAAAUAACUAAACAGAAGUUAACAUAAUAUCAUAAAACAAUAAUGCAAGUUCAGAAAGCAAAAUAUUACAUGGCUAAUGAAAGUAAAAGUUCACAAAGCAAAAUAUUACAUGUCCAAUAACUAACAAAGACAGUCAAAUAUUACAUGUCCAAUAAUUAAAUCUACAAAAAUGAAAACCCUAUAAAAAUAUUUUUUAAAUCUUGAAUUCCAUUCUGUCAAAAUUAAAUUUUUAAAAUCUUUUUUAUAAACAAUUAAUUUUUAAAUAAAUAAUUACUUUCUACAUUUAUUAUUAAAAUAUCAAUUAAAAAUACCACUUCUAAAAUAUCAAUUACUUUUUAAAAAACCUACAAAUUACAAAUUUCUAUUUCCUUGUAAAAAUAUUCAUUUUAAAUACAUUAAUUUUUUUUCUUAUAAACAAUUAAAUCUUAUAACAAAAAUUACUAAAACAUUUUCUUUUAAUGUUUUUAAUGAUAACAUUAAUAAUUUUUGUCCAAUCUAAAAAAAUAUUAACCAUAUAGAAUAUAAAUAUUCAUUUAAUCACUACAACAUUUUUUAUUUGAUAAUUGAUUACAAAUAUCCAAUAAUUUUUUUUAUUAAUCACUACAACAUUUAAUCACUAUAACAUUAAUAAUUUAUGUUUAAUAUAAUAAAAAACCUAAACUUUACAAAUUUCUGUUUCCAUUUGGUAAAUCAUUCAUUUCAUACAAAUAAAUAUUUUUCUUAAAUGUUAAACAAAUAAUAACUAUCUACAAAAAUUAAAACAAUAAAUCAAAUAAAGAAGUUAAUUUAAUUAACUAAACUCCUUAACAUAUUUAAUUAACUAUCUACUAACUCCUUAACAUAAUUAACUAAACUAAAGUCUAAACAAAUUAUAUUACAACCAACAUUAAUUUACUAUUUCCUUAACAUAAUUAACUAAACUAAAGUCUAAACAAAUUAUAUUACAACCAACAUUAAUUUAUUAACUCCUUAACAUAAUUAACUAAACUAAAUUCUAAACAAAUUAUAUUACAAAACCAUAAUCAUCCAAACAUAAAUAUAAAACAGAAAUUAAAAAAAAUUACUUUACAUAAAAAAUUUAAAAACCUGAAGAUAAGCACUCAAGAACAGCACAAUAGGGAUGACUGAUAGGAUGAAGAACACACCACGAGUGCCUGAAAACCACAUAAAACAAAUUAAGAAACACAGAAUUUCACAAAAUUUAGAACAUAAUCGAUUAUCCCAUCAGUUACAUACACAGGAUAAUCGAUUAUCCACGUAUAAUCGAUUAUGUUAGUAGGCAAAAAACAAGCAUAAUCGAUUAUGACAAUACAUAAUCGAUUAAGACCCUUUUUCCACACUUCAGAUAAUCGAUUAUGGGUUGAAAUUUUUACAGAUAAUCGGUUACUGCCUUUACUUAAUCGAUUAUCUACACCAUAAUCGAUUAUGUGACCAGUGCUAAUUCAACCAUAAUCGAUUAAGCAACAUUCAAAGACAUGCUCUCACCUGAGAUGAACCCAGAGAUGAACCAAGCACCUAAGAUGAACCAAGCACCUAAGAUGAACAACUUAUACGUAACUCAAGCCCCUACCACACACUAUGAUGGCUUACGAAUCUCUCCAACCACACUACACUACACACUCUAAUGGCUUCGCUUUGUUUGCUUAUCUGUGAAUGGAGGAACCAGCUUCAUGCAUCAUUUUAUAUAGCUUCAUCCACACCUACCUCACCCACUGCAUUCACUCAGCUUUCAAACUUUCACACGGUCAAACGAUUCCUGAGCCAAGUCAGGAAUUUGAUGCUUUUAUGUGGCAUGCAUGCAGGGACACUGUUCUCCUGGAUUCCAGCACAAAAGCAAGGGCAACAACGUAACUUCGUAUGGAUGACGUGGCACUCGCUCUCCUCAGCUUAACUUUCUCUUCAUCUGAAAGGAGAACCAAAAUUCACUCCCCUUUCUCUUUCCUUCCACCCUCACCUGCAACAAUACAUGGAUCCAAACGGGGUGGUGUUGUGACUUCCGUCGUCGACAACAGUACCACCCGUGGAAGCAAACAAGCCCUAAGAAAAAAAAGUAAGAAGAAAGUUAAGUUUGUUUCAAUUGGAGUAUUUUAAAAGAAAUGUUUGAGAAAAAUUUAUUCAGAUACGUAAAUGAUGUGGUGGUUGUACACUCAAUUCCUUAUAUAACACUAUUUACACUUUUAUUUUUUUAUUUAGCACCUUUUAUUUUUAUUUCUCUAUCUAGCAUCAUUUUAAAAGUAAAAAAAUUAAUAAAUUUGAUAAUUUUAAUUUAAAAUGCAUUAAAAAAUAAAUAUUUUAAUGUUUAAAAUAGUUAAAAAUAUAAUUAAUGAAUAAAGAAAUAAGUUUUUACAAAAUAAAAAAGUAAUAAAUUAAAAAUGUUUAGUUUAUUUUUUUUAAGAAUGAAGAAAAUAAAAAAUUAAACCUUAUAACAACAUAAAAGUUGAAUCUAUAAACAAAAAUUAGUAUUUAUUUUUAUUAUUAUUGAUGAUGUAAUCAUGUUAAUUUCAAGUAAAAAGUACUGAAAAUAAUUAUAAAAAAAAUCAAAGUCAAUUAGUAUUAAUUAGUAAUAGACACAAAUAAUAUUGAAGUGUCUACCUAAAUGCAAAAUCCUAAAAAAAAACACUAAUGCAAAUGUUACACUUAAUGCUUAAAAAUGAGAAGAAAAAAAUGCAAAAAUAAAUAAUAUAGAAAAUAAAAACAAAAAACAGAAAUAAAUAAAGAAUGACAGAAAAAAAUAAUAACUAAAAACAUAAAAGAUAUAAAAUAAAGGCAAAACAAAAUAAGAUAAAGAUAAAAUAUAUAUAAAAAAACAAGAUAAAGAUAAGAGAUAUAAGACGAUACUAAACAGUACAUGUUAAACAUAAAAAAGAAAAAUAGAUGAGAGAUGAUCAUUCAUUUUAUAUUUUCUUCAAUGGUACAUUAAAUAGUUUAUACGGAAUGAAACAUAAUUAAUGACGAGAAGUAGAUAAUCCAGUAAUGUUGGAACACGUUUUUUUUUGUCAUGAUGUUUGACAAUAUGAACAUUUUUUGUUCGAUCAUAUUGUUCUCUUAUGUCCAUAUCAGUCCUUAUGUUUAUAGAUUCAACUUUAUGUUGAUGUAGGGUUUAAUUUUUUAUUUUCUUCAUUCUUACAAAAAAAAUAUUAAACUAAACAUUUUUAAUUUAUUGUUUUUUUAUUUUUAUUUUGUAAAAACUCAUUUCUUUAUUCAAUAAUAACUAUUUUAAACAUUAAAAAUAUUUAUUUUUUAAUGCAUUCAAAAUUAAAAUUAUUAAUUUUUUUAUUUUUAUUUUUUUUAAUUUUGAAAUGGUGCUAAAUAGGGAAAUAAAAACAAAAGGGUGCUACAUACGAAAAUAAAAACAAAAGGGUGCUAGAUGGAAAAAUAAAAGUGUAAAUAGUGUUAUAUGAAGAAUUGAGUCGGUGAUUGUAAAGAUAUUUUAAAUUACUUUUAAUGGUAUAAAUUGUAAGAUUACAAAUUUAUCUUUGUUAAUAAAAAAUAUUUAUUAAUUUUGUACAUAUUUUAGUUUAUUAAAAUAAUUUAAAGUUCCAAUUAUAAAUAAAAUAAAAAAUAAUGUAAAAUUCAAAUAAAUAAAUAAAUAAAUAAAUAAAUUUUAAAUAUAAUUUUAUUAUUUUUAAUUUAUUAAUUUAAAUUAAUAUUUUUAAUUAAAUUAACGUAUUUAGAUAAUUUUAAUAUUAUUUAUGAUUCUUUAAAUUAUGUUAUAUUAUAUAUAUAUAUAUAUAUAAAUACAAAAUUUGUAUUAAUCUUAAUUUUUAUUAUUAUUAACAAAAUUAAUAUAUUUUAAAAAGUAGUCACAAUAAUAUAUGAAGUCAUUAUAUUUGAUCCGAAAGUCAUUAUAUUUGAUUCGGAUAGAGAUAAAGACAUGUUAAUUUUUUUGUAAUUUAAAAUUAUGUAAAAAUUAAGAACAUAAUAAUAUUAAUUAGAAAAAAAAACACAUCCCCACUAAUAAUAUUUUAAUUCUUCUUGUGGAAACCUUCAAACAUUUUUCUAGAAAACAUAUCUUAUUCCGUUGUCUGACAAUAAUUGCAUCUCUUUCAUCGACAAUGUCUUUAAUGCACCAUUUGAAAAAAUUACAGCGUAGAACCAUGCAACUUUUAAUAUGUUUUGAAGAAAAUAAUAAAAUUGAACAAUGAAUAAGUUUAAAAUAACAUUCUUAAGUUUGCAUCAAACCUAAUUGAAUAAAUUUUACCUUGUACAUGGGACAACCCCAAAAUCGUUUUCCGACAUUUUUUUUUUCUGUUGUUGUUGUUCUCAAGAUAACAAACUUUCCACAAUCACAAAUAGGAGCAACGAAGACACUUGUGCUCCCAGCAACAUGAGUAAAAGUAUCACGUUUUUGCACACCACAACCGGUACAACUAGACGACAAUGUGGUGUGAUACGCAAACAUUGAAGGCCACUUAAGCAAUGCUCUUGAUUCUCCAAUUUAGGUAAUGGAACACAAAUUUGAUUUAUGCAUAAUAGAAAUAAAAAGUUAAAAAAGUUGCAUUCAAAACAAUAUCAUUCUCUAAAUAAGUACCAUGAAAACUACCAUAAAACCUUAAUAUUAAAUAACAAUUUCCCAAUGUUCAAUGUGAAAAAUAAGAAUAACAAUAACAAUUCAUCAAUGUUCAAUAUGAAAAAUAGAAAUAAAAAUAAUAAUGACAAUAACAUAAUGAUAAGACAAUCAAUGACCUUGAUGAUGUUGAAUAUCAUUCAGAAUAUCCUCAAUUCGCUUCAUCCUUUUAUCAACCCUAUUAAUACGGGUAUUGACGUUCCUCAUACUUUCUUCCUCAUACUCUCACCAAGUCUUCAUAAUACGGAAGUUUCAUUUCAAGGAAAUGUUGUAAUCCUUGGAAAUUCAAAUGGUUCUGGAAUUGAAACCUCAGUGCGACAAAAAAUGGAAAAUGCAUAGCUUUUGGUGAUAAACUGCUCUACCGUGAAACAUUUUUCCAAACACCAUCAAAUAUAAAACUCAAUUUUAAGUGAACGAAAGUCAUGAAAAUAUCUUAAACAACAUCGUGGUAAAGUACAUAAUGGUUCAGUCAUCUUAAAUUAUAGACCACCUUUUCCGAUGAACUUUUAGUAAGCAAUAUCGUGGUAAAGUACAUAAUGGUUAAUGUUAUUUCACCGUAAAAUCUUUUGUUGGGAAGACAUUCCCUAAAUAAGUUGGGAGUUGUUAUCUCCUUUGUGCACCUAAAGAGGAAAUUUCCUACCCUGGAAGGGUAACAUGAAAAUGUUACGAGAAUAGUCUUCAUACCCGCCAAGGUACUUAUUCAAUAUCCACUACACCUGAAGCCUAAGCCUUGGAAACCGAUCCUCGUGUCACAUAUGAUGACAGAUAAAACCAAAACCAGUUGGUGAUACCAAAGAAGUGGACAUAGGGAAUACAAAGAAGUUCAAGAUAGGUGCCACUUUGAUAUAAUCGAUGAAGAAAAAAGUAAUUGAAGUAUUGAGAAAGAAUAUUGACGUUUUCAUUUGGUCGACUGCCAAAAUGCCAUGGAUUGAUUUUGAUUUUUUAUGUCAUCGCGUAUCUAUCGACCCAAAAGGAAAAUAUAUCAUCCAAAGACAAUGAAAGUUUGUUAAGGUGAAAUAAGAGGCGAUCAAGGAGGAGAACAAGAAGUUGAUAGAGGCCAAUCAUAUUUAGGGAAUUCAGUAAUCAUAAUGGUUAGCCAUUGUGGUGAUGGUAAGAAAGACGAAUGACAAAUGAAGGAUGUGUGUUGAUUUCACAAAUUUGAAUAAUGAUUGCCCUAACGAUUCUUAUCAUUUACCCAAUAUCGAUGCCUUGGUGGAUAACAAGUUAGGGUGUAGGCUCCUUAGCUUUAUAAACGCUUAUUCAUGAUAUAACUAGAUACGUAUGCACCAUAUGAAUGAGGACAAUACUACAUUCAUGGUCAAAAUUGCAAAUUAAUUCUAUAAAGUGAUGCCUUUUGGCAUGAAGAAUGUCGAAGUGACCUACCAGCAUUUGAUAGACAAGAUAUUGUAACUAGUGAUUGGGAGGCAUGUACAAACUUAUGUUGACGACAUGGUAGUCACAUCCUCAACAACUGAAAAUCAUUGGUCUGACUUGGAAGAGUUAUUCAUCAUUAUCUCAAUCCUGAGAAAUGUGUUUUUGGUGUAAAGGCGUUAAAGUUUUUUUGAUUUUUUGUUUACUGAGCGGGAAAAAAAGGGAAACACGGAUAAAUGUUCAACUAUAAUUAACAUGAGAAGUCCAACUAAUGUGAAAGAGGUCCAACGACUGACAGGUCAGAUGGCAAAUGAAGUUGUACCUGAUGACCCUAGGAAAGCUAAUGAGACAUGUGGAUGACACCAUACAUUCGAUACUUGGAAAAUGAAGUUGUACAUGACGAUCAUAAGAAAGCUAAGGAGCUGGAAAAAAAUGCUUGUCGCUUCGCUACGAUUAAUGGGUAUCUCUUUAGGUAUGGUCACUUUCGGCUUAUGCUCAACUGCAUCACUCCUUCACAAGCAGAUUGAGUAUUGAAUGAUUUGCAUAAGUUACAUUCGAGGACAAGCUUUAGCCCACAAGGCAAUCAGAGUAGGUUAUUAUUGGCUGACCUCGAGAGAAGACAAUAUGACAUACACAAAAAAAUGUGAUUAGUGUUAGAUGCACAUUGAUUGACAUCGGGCCCCAACUAGAUUGGGUAUUGAUUGAAUUCCACAAGGAGAUUUGCAGAAGUUACACUGGAGGACGAGCUUUAGCCCACAAGACUAUCAAAGCAGGUUAUUAUUGGUCGACCUCAAGAGAAGACAACAUGACGUACACAAGAAGAUGUGAUCAGUGUCAGAUGCACGUUGAUUGACAUUGAACCCCAAUUGAAGAAUUACAUUCCAUCACCCGUCCAUAACCUUUUCAUGCAUGAAAAAUUGACAUCUUAGGGUCGUUUCCUAGUGAUCCGACAAUUCAAAUUUUUAGUGAUGACAACGAAAUAUUUUAUAAAGGGAUUGAAGCAAAGUCACUAUCAAUAAUACCGAUUUCAAAGAUUCAGAGUUUUCUAUGGAAGAAUGUCACUAUCAAUAUAAAUACUUAAAUCUAUAUAUCCAAACUAUACUAAAUCAUAUUUCUCCAUCCAUCAAAACAAUACAUUAUGAUAGAAGUGUGUAUAAUCAAUAAAUAAUUAUUAUAACUUUAAGUUAAUUAUUAUAGAAAAUAUUAUUUACGAUUGUUAAUAUAUUUAAUUUUCUAUUUAAAUUAUUGGGCUUUGUUUGUUUGACCCAACUUUCCUUUUCUGUUUCAGCUAGGUCUUAAUCUUUUUCUUAUAUAUACACCAUGUAUUUUACUCUCUAAUAUACAAGUGAAUAAAAGUUUCUUUUAUAUUUAUUUUUCUCUACAAUUAGGGUUCAUCAAAACAUCUCUUUCUUCAUUACGAUUACGUGCGAGCGAUUACGUACGCUACAUUAAAGCAUCACAUCAGACAAGGAAUAUUCAUCUUCAUUUACUGUAAUAUGGUAUCAGAGCUCUUCGAAUGAAGAGUUCUGCUGCGUUUCUCUCUGAUUUUUAUUUCCCUAUUUUUUAUUUCAAGAUGAGAACAAAAUUAUUUUAUAUCCAAAAACAUGUAAUUAUCUUAAAAUUAUUAUAUAUAUAUAUAUAUAUUCCUUUUUCUAUUCAAACCCGUUGCAUAUUUUAAAUUAUAAAAUUUCAUUCAAACAGUGACCUAAUAUUCUUGAAAAAUAUAAACCUUAUUUGUAUUUGGAGAGAUACGAAAAAUGACUGAAUGCUCUAAAGUAAGAUCACUAAACAUUCAACUGAAUCAAUCAACUUUUUGUUACUUUACUAAAUAAUAACAUUUUAACACAUUUUUUUUAAAUAACAUUUUAUUGAUUAAAACCUAAUAUUACUAAAUUGAAAAUAAAAUUUAUUUAAUAAGAAAUGAAAUUCACACAUCUAAUUACAUAUACACACACGUAUUACGAUAAAUUAUAUUUUCAGUUUUUUAUCCUUUCAGUUAUAUAUAUAUAUAUAUAUAUAUAUUUUAUUUUAUUUUAGAAUAAAUAACGUUUUUAGAACUUCUUUUAUAUACUCAAUGGACAAUUUUUAAGAACAAUAUAAUAAUAGCAGUAUUUGAGUUAAUUACUAAUAUUUUGAUAAAUAGUUAAAUAAGUAUUUGUGAAUUGAUGAUAUAACUAAUAUUAAUGAUUGCUGUAUAUACACUUUUUUAAAAUGUUAAAAUGAAGAUUACAUAAAUUUGUUAUUAAAAAGUAAAUUAAUGUAAAAAAUUAAAACGUGAGUUAUAUACACUAUAUAUUGCAGGAGUUUUUGUCAUUAAUUUUGGUGAUUCUAUUGUGUCACAUUUUUUAAAUUAUUUUUAUAUUUUUAUUUUAAUAUAAUUUUUUUAUUAAAAAUAUACUUUAUUAAUGUUUUAUUUGAAUGUUGGUAAUGAAUAUAUAUUUCUAAGUCAGAAAAAUAAUUUUCAUUUUUAUGAUCAAAGAUCUUAUUUUUAAUGUAAUAAUAUCAAUAUACUUCAAUAAUUUUUUUUAUAAAAUAUAAAAUAAUGGAGAUUUAGGAUUAUAGGUAGAGAUUACAAAAUGCGUCAAAUACAGAGUUAAUGGAAGUAAUGAAAAUAAUUUUAAAAUAUGUUUUAUUUUGUGAUAAUUUUGAACUACUAAUAUAUUUAAAUUGUUGAUAAAGUUAAUUUUAAGUAGAUAGAAAUACCAUUUUUGUUUAUUUGUAUAUAUAAAAAAUUCAAAUACAUGAAUCCAAACUAAACAUAUAUGGGAAAAAAAAGAAUAAAAUUAUAAUUAAGUAUAUACUUUAAUAAAGAGUAUAUUAAAAAAUAUUACUAACUAUCCCUAAAUUAUAUGAUUAAACAUUUAAUUAAGACUUUAUGAGGUGGGAAGGUAAGAAAGUGUUUUAAACACUGAACCGCAGUCGGUUAUAAAUAAGGGAGAAAUUUAAUGUUUAUUUUUCGAAGUGUUUUAAUUUCAGUAUUUUGUUUCUUCUCAAUUUUGUUCACCUUAAACCAUAUCAUGCGACAUUAAUUAACGUCAUUUAUUAACAUAAGUUGAGUGUCAUUUAGAAAUGCUUCUUCUUCUUCCAUUAUUAUUUUCUCUUACUUAAUUUUCAAUUCCAAAAUUUGGUAUGAGUAUGUCAAAGGUUGUUUUAGUAGAAAUAAUGAAUGGGCUAAAGACGGGUUCUUAUAAGUUUCUUCGUGCACUCAUCAAAGUUCUUCCUCCACUCCCAUUAUAUAGGUCAAAUUAUUAAAUAUUUUAAAUUAUCUAAUUUGUUCUCAUUUUAUGAAAUUAUUUCUAAAACAACUUGUAAAUUCAGAGGAUUUUUUCUUUAAACCCAAAACGACCUCGUUUCUGAACACAAAAUCAGACAAAUUCACCUAGGUUACUCGCAUCAGGGCUUGUGUUCGAGUUCUUCGUGAUGGUGUGUCUCUGUUCCAAUCGUGGUGCCAAUGCAUAUUUGUUUCGAUCGUAGUGGUGUUGAUGAUCGCUUUCGUGGUGACGUUUGUACUCGUGUUCUGUCUUACGUGGCCGCCUGUUCUGAUCGUUGUGGUGCGUUGUCAUCUGCUAUCUCCGUUCGUUGUGGUUGUUUGGUAAGAUUAUAGAUGUAACAUAGUGUUUGCAGAAGCAAACACUAAUGCAACAUACGAGAAAAGUUAUUUUUUAAUAGAAAAUAUUGAAAGAAUAGCGCAAUGACAUAUUCACAUAUAUUUAGAGGUUUUUUUAAUUGAAUUUUAUUUUUAAUUUCUGAAAAUUCUAUCUUUUAAAUUUAUGUUUUUUUAAAGUAUAUAUAAGAGUUCAUAAAAUUCAAGUGGGACAAGCAAGCACAUUUUCAUCUAUUAAAAGAAUGUAAAAAUACUUAAAAAAAUAAUUCCAAAAUAAGUAAACAUGAUUAGCUGUUAAAAGUAUUUAAUUAUACAUUUAAUUAAUAAAAUCAACUAUGAUGGUUUGGGUAAGACACAAAACAACAUAAUUGACUAGAUUGUAUUUUUUAAAUUUACCAUAUCUUCUUUUUAAGUGUCACUAAUUCAAGGUUAAAAAAAAGUUGUCGAACAUGAAAAAAAGAAUUGAGGUGUCAAAAUUUUAAAAAUAAAUAUUUUUACCUUAUUUUUUAGUAUUUCAAAAAUUUCUUUUGGAAUGUUAUAUAAUCAAGAUCUUUGGAUGACAUUUAUGGUUGGUCGAGUAUGUGUCAAAAGGAUAUUUUCAGAGUAUUAAGAACUAAAGUUUAAGAGUUAAGUAAAAGAAUGACAUUCUUUAGACGAUUUAAGCGUUGACCAUAGGUUGCUUAUUAGAUAAUGUGUGUGUCGAUUAUAGGACAUCAUCUCAAUCAGGUGUAGCGAGAUUAGCGAGAAGGCUAUUGUGUCACCAAAAUUUUGGGAUCUUGAGUAACAAUUGAAUCCUUGAAUCCCAUAACUUGUUUUCUAUUGCAUUACAUCUUUCAUCUCUUGAAUUAGUUUUAUGAUACUUAAAUUAAUCCUAUGAGCGCUACUAAGAGAGGAGAAAUUCCUAUAAAUAUAAUACGUCCUAGAUAACAUAAGACACUUUUGAACUCAUUGGCUUAAAGUUACUAAUUUGAGCUAUAAUGAAUUGGCGCCUACCGUGGUACUAGGUAAAACUUUUCCUACCUCCACAAGAGAGCACAUAGGUAACACCUUCUUAACUUUAGCAAAUAACACAACAACAUUACCCUCCAACUUUGUAUCAAAUCCUGGACACCAUGCGGGAGUUGCAGCGGGAUAACACGAAGGCUAGAAGAAAACCAAGAGAAACUCAGGCAGAAAAAGGAAGCUUUAAGAGCGCAUGAAGAGUUGUAGAAAACAAAUUAGGAGUUACAACAAGCAAUGAUUGAGAAGAAACCACCAUUAAGUGAAUUGUAUUCCAAUUGGCAUAAUAGAAGGUGUUAGAAAACCUUAGAGGAGGUAGCUAUCAAGGAGAAACAUCUAGAAUCUUCUUUUCUUGCUUUCCAUGUUUGUAACAGCUAUCAUGUGUGGCUAAUUCUACCCUUUGGGAUUGGGAGUAAUAUUUUCAAACUCUUAUGUAUUGAGGUGAUAUAUAAACACAAUAUUUUGUUCUUGAUUGAUGAUUGAUAUUAUUGUUUUGUUUGUAAUGCUUGGUUUUCCAUGAUAUUGAAACUUAAAUUUGACUGGAAAGUACUUAUAAGGUUCUGACCUAAACGAUAAAGCUUAACUUAUUUGAAUGCUAGGAAUAAAUAUGAAAUGUUAAUUUCUAUCAAUGUCUAAUCUCAAUGAUAAGUGAUUUUUAUAAAUAUGCGAGAAAUCAAUAUUUAGGAAGCAUCUUAAUAAUUUUAUAUGCGAGGAAUCGAUAUAAAUGAUUUUUAUACGAGCAUUAAUAUCAAUCAAAUGACACAAUAUUGUCAUGCUAAUCAAAAUACAAAAGAGUGAAAAAGAGUGAGAAAGAUGAACCUCAAUCUCUAUUUUUCCAAUUGAAGCAACAAACUCUUUGACUUGUUUUCUUAUUAAUCAUUGGCAUCAUAACAAAUCCAACAAACUCUAUUAUUCUGUUUUAUAUUUAAUGAAUAUUUUACUUGAUUAUUUCUUUGUGGGUUUGAUAUUCGUCCUUAGCGACAUGAUUCCUUGUGGGUUUCGAUACCCACAAUGGAGAUUUAGGAUUGUAGGUAGAGGUUACAAAAUGUGGCAUGUAUAGAGUUAUUAGGAGUAAUGAGAAUAAUUUUAAAAUAUGUUUUAUUUUGUGAUAAUUUUAAACUACUAAUAUAUUUAAAUUUUUAAUAAAUUUAUUUUAAGUAGAUAGAAAUACCAUUUUUAUUUAUUUUUCUAUAGAAAAUUCAAAUACAUGAAUCCAAACUAAACAUAUAUGAGAAAAAAAAAUAAAAGAAUAAAACUAUAAUUAAGUGUAUACUUUAAUAAAGAGUAUAUUAAAAAAUAUUACUAACUAUCUUUAAAUUUAUUUGAUUAAACAUUUAAUUAAGACUUAUGAGGUAGGAAGGUAAGAAAGUGUUUUAAAUACCGAACCACAGUGGUCAUAAAUAAGGGAGAAAUUUAAUGUUUAUUUUUCAAAGUGUUUUAAUUUCAGCAUUUUCUUUCUUCUCAAUUCUGUCACCUUUAACCAUAUAAUGCGACAUUAAUUAACGUUAUUUAUUAAGAUAAGUUGAGUGUCAUUCAGAGCAACAGAAGACACUAUUAUAAAUUAAAGACUGAAAUAAACUUAAUAUGCUGCUUCUUCUUCUUCCAUUAUUAUUUUCUCUCAAUUUUCAAUUCCAAAAUUUGAUAUUAGUAGGUCAAAGUUGUUUUAGUAGAAAUAAUGGAUGAAUUAAGGAGGGGUGCAUAAUUUAUAAGGUGUUUCUUUCUCCACCCAUAAAUAAGUAAAAUGAUUAAAUGUCUACCUAACUUGUUUUCAUUUCUGAAAGUUCUUAUGGAAUAUCAUAUAAAAGAUAUUCCAAAAUGUAUUAUAUAUGUUUCAGAAACCAUUUUUUAGAAUACAUUUUUUUGAAUUAUGAAAAAGUAUGUUAUGGAAAAAGCUUCCAAAAAAGAUAAUUCCUAAAAAAAGGAUAAGACAAUUUUUUAAAAAAUUGAUGGGGGUGGAGAAAAUUCAUUUGGCUGUUUAAAAAGAGAUUUCUUUCUGUACCCAUUUUUUUUUUCACUUUAAUACUUUUAAAAAUAUUAAAAAUAUUUAUUUUAAAUUGUAUAAUUUAUAAUACAAAAUUUGCAUUUUGGAAUGUACAAUUUAAAAUAUAAAAUUUGUAUUUUAAAUUGUAAACUUCAAAAAAUAAAUUUUAUAAUACAAAUUUUAUAUUUCAAAUUACACAUUCUUAAAUAUAAAAAACCACAAAUUUUAACUUUCACAUAUAAAAUGAACUCUUCUAAUUUCACAUUUUAGAAUUAAAAAUAUUUAAUAAAUAAAUGUCGAAAGUAAUUUAAGUAUUUUUUUGAAAUACGAGGAUAUUAAAAAGAAACAAAUGGAGGUACAAGAAGAAUUUUUGAAUAAGAAUGAGUAACAAUUUAGGUAAGGAGUGAAUAGGUAUAUAUAUGGGCAAAAAGAAGAAAGUUAGGGUUAACUAUCCUCAUUUCUUUAGCGGAAAAAGAUAUUGAAUUUUGUUUUAGAGGUAUCAAAUUUUAUAGUGGUCAAUUUUUGAAGUAAUAAAAUAACUAUUUAACCCUUUAAAACAACAUAAAAUUACGCUUAUAUUUUCUCUUAAUUUCUUGUAAAUUUCACUACGACCCUGUAAUGCUAGUACUUAAAAUUGCACUCUUCAAAUGUUAUUUGAUUUAAUAUAACUUAAAACCAAUAAAAACAGAUAUAAAGUAUUCUUAGUUAUGUCUUCUAUAUAUAAUGUGUUUAAACGGAGUGUUGUGAUAGUAAAAUUCAAUUUUUAAAUAAAUUUAGAAUACCAAAUGUCAAAAUAAUUUGUUUAGAUAUCAAAUUUACAUAAAUUUUAAAAUAUUCAAAUUUUGCAGAGAUUUUUUCAAGUAAAACGAAAAAAUUUAAAUAAUACAAAAGAUUAAAAAACUUGAAUUUUUUUUCUUCUGAAGUUUUAUUAUUUAUAUUUGAAAUGAAAGGAAUAGAAAUUCCAUAUAAUUUGCAAUGAAAUAAUUCAUUUUAAUCUACUACUUCAAACUUUAUUCUUUUAAUUCAUUUUAAAGUAGAAUUUUUCUUUUAAGUUUCAUUGAUUUUAAAUUCCUCAUAUCUUUUAGACUAUUUUUUUAAUCUAAAUUAUUUUAUAUUCAAAACACACAGCUUAGAGAAAAAGUUCAUUCUUUCAAUAUUUCUAAUUAUACUUUUUUUUUCUCUUUUCUCAUUUUCUCGAGCAUUUCAUAUAAUAUUCCUAAAACUAACAAUUUUUUCUCAACUACCUUAGACUUCUCCAUUUAUCACUAUUUAUAUAUUUGAUUUCAUGACUAGCUAUACCUUUCCACGUGCCCAUUUACCUUCAUCUUUAAAUUGAAUUUUAAUUAUUAUUAUUUAAAAAAAAGACUCACAUAAUGAAAAAUAACCAGCUGGUACUACAAAUUAAAUUCUUCAAUACAAGUAUAAAGAUAUCAAUUAUAUAUUAAAAGAUAUUUAUUUAUGAUAAAAUUUAAUUAUACUACAAUUAAAUAAGAAAAAAAUAUUUAUUUCAGUUAUAUAAAUAAAUAUUUUAUAAACAAACUAAAAGAUUAAUAAUAUACUCUCCUUUUUAAAUCUUUACUAACCCCUUGAAAAAAAUAUAGAUAAACAUAUUUCAUUUUUAAUACAACAAUUAUAUACAAAAUCUGCUACUAGUAUUUUUUAUUUAGUAAUUGUAACAUGUGUGUUUAUUAUAAAAAAAAACAAUAAACUAAAUUUGAAGGAAACUUUACUUUUUUUUUCUUUAAAAUACCCUAAACUCUAAAGAUAUGUUACUAAAGAAAAAAACAUAUAUUCAAUUCCUUUUAACUAUUAACAGAUCAAAUAAAAUUAAUAAAAUAAAAGAAAUAAAAGAAAUUUUGUACUAUUACUGAAUUGACUAUUUAACGGUAAAUAUUAUUAUAUUGAAAUGCUUUAUUUUUAUAUGAAACUGGUAUAUAACUAUUUUACAUAUGUAUGCAUCCAUUAGCCCACAAGUUUUGAACAGGUGGGGUCACUUGUGUUUCUGCAUUCAUGAUUAUGGCCACCAUCCUUCCACACCUGCACUAAUCAUAUUAACUCUCUUUCACACCCUUCUCUCUGUGUGAAACCUCUUUUCCUGUGGCUGUCCCAUUUGUCCUCUUCCCAUUAUACAUGGCUGCCAUAGAGAAACAAUGCUUUUUAAGUGCAGUGAUUUUAGCUAACCAUUUACUAGGCCUUUUUAAAACAAAGGAAAGAACCUCCAUAAUUGAUUCUUCACACAACCGUUUCAUAAUCGACACCUAAACCUUUAUUACAUUUCUUUAUGAAUAGAGCUUGCAAUAAGCUAUUAGCCUAGUAGUUUCAUCUACUUUAGCUUUUACAACAAAAGCUACUUUUAAAAAUUGAAAUAAAGUAAAAAUGUUAGCUUGAAUAUCAUUAUGUGUCAUGGAAAGUUAUCACUAAUGGAAGGCAAAGUGAAAGGAAAUUGCUGUAUAUCGAAUAUCAUUUUCAGUUUCAGUUUCAGUCUAAACUAAUUAUGGUAAAUUAAUGCAAAUUGCUUCCCAUGUCUCCAAACUCGAUACAAGAAUCUGCUGUGCCUUAACCUGCAAAUAAAGUUUAGAGUAACAAAUAUGCCAUCAAACAAAGAAACACUUUAGUAGAACACCCUAAGAAAAAGGUUUGGCCUAACUAAAUCAUAGUUGUGCUAUGGGAUCUCAUUCUUUUAGUUUUGACACACUGGUCCACAUUGAAGUCAGAUCCUCAUUACUAGGGAGCAGAAGAUGGCAUGCCAAGAAGGAGAAAAGAAUAAAAAGUUAUGCACAUUUAAGAUUCUUUUACUAUUUGAUUCUAAGCUGCUUGGUGCUUUUAGUUCUCUCUAGUUAGAUAGGAAUAUAUUGCAGAGUUACAUAGGACCACCUGCCAAAUGUACUUAUUUCUUUGGAAUGAGAAGCUGUAAAGCCUGUAACUUUGGUUCAGAUAAAAUGAUCUUUUAUGAAACAAAAAUGAUCAAAGACAAAGUGAUCGAAUGAAAUGAAGGCCACACCCACUUAAUCAAAACGUAUGAAAUUGCUGAUUACCUACCAUAUUACUCUACCAUACAAUAAAAAUUGAAGGCCUCAUCAUGAGUACCAGAUCGAUGCAAUCUAAGACCAUGAUUGUUCCAACAGUUGUCACAUUGAGUAGCUGUGAUGAUCACAUUAGUGUCUAUAUCAUGAGCUGAUGCCAAAUAUUCAUUUAAUACAUACACUAUUGGAGCUAUUAUAUUCACCCGUCCCUUAACUCACGUCCUUUUCCUGUUCUCCAAUUAAAAGUUACAUAUGGUUAAGAUGUAACACUCUUUCCCGGUUGUUAGUCUUAUUCUUUUCAAGAGUUAUUUCUUAGUUGAAAAGAUAAGGGUAUAGGAAAUUAUGAUAGGUGAUUUGGUUCCGGAGAUGACACAAAACCACACAGGUCAUUUGGCCUUCUUUUAUGACUUAGACAAUGCACUAAACUUCAGUAGUCAUAGUUUAGGUAUGCAAACCAGUUACAAAAACACUUUAAAGUAAUGGAAUUGGAAAUUUGCAUCAGGUAAAAUAUCCAUUACUUUAGUCAAUGACAUAACACGUACGUAUGUGAGCUAAUCAUAUCUAAUAUAGCACGGUUCUCAUAGUAUCAUGUUAUCCAACUCAUCAUUUUAAUUUCCACUUUUGUGAUCUUUACACAUAAUAGGAGUUAAUUUAUGCUAAAUUUAUGUGUGUAGCUUUGGCUAGCCAUUAUUACAACUCCCAAAAGCAGUGCAACACAUCCGAAUUCCUGCAAUUUCUUAAGUCAAAAACCGUGUAAAAGAAAGAAAAGUCCACUUGCUCACUACCUUUCACCGAAAAGUGCAAGCACACCUGCGUUUUUCUUGACUUUAGAUUAUGUUCAUUAUAAACGCUCAUAAAGUACGUUUCAAAACCACCUCCAUCCCUUCCUUCCCUCCCUUAUAGCACUGUAUGAGUUCAUCUGACUUCAAUUCUCCUCAAGAAUCUCCCAAGAGAAUGGUGCACACAGUUUUCUAGUGGCUUUGUUUUAAUUAACUGGCAUGAAGUAGAAUGCUAGGAUAUCACAGUCACUUCACUCAUAGUGACAAUUCUUAGUGGGGUACAGUGGGAUCAUAAUUGACAGGUUUUGUUGAAAUGGGAGUUGUCACUGUCGGAGAAUUAAAGCCUAGCAUCUCUGGGAAGAGGACCUUUCGUCCUAGUUCAAGCAUAAGGCAUGCCACUGAAUGGUAAAAUAUUCUCAAUCUUGAAAAUGAAUUUUGCUUUCUUCAUUAUUUUGGGUAUAAUAAUUUAGUUUUGUUUCUCCAUAAUGUUUUCGGCUAAAUUAAUAUACAAGAAAAAAAAAUGUCUGGAAGUAGUAUUUAGACCCAUAAUUAAGGGUGAUUUUUCCUUUACUGAGGCAAAGAAAAUAAUUGUGAUGAGGAUUUGAAUGGGCAAAAGGCCACACAUUCACUUCCAGAAAUUGAUCUAAUGACCCACCCUUAAAAACAAAUCCUUUUUCUUUUUCAAUGUGUAGUCGUUUUCAAAUAUCUAUAAUUAGAUCUUGAUCACAUAAUUGGAAUCAAGAGCUCCACGUUAAAAAAAUAUAAAACCAUUCAUGUGGGUUACCUAUCAGUUUAAGCUUUUGGGAUUAAUGAUUCAUGACAUGGUAUUGCACUGUCCACACUUGAAGCGCAAAUGGCUCUUGAUGUUCAUGACACUCCAAGGUUAUUUUAUUUCUCAGCGCUUUCAUUUUGGUGGGUCUAACUGUCCUUUUCCUAUGGGAUUGUGAAAGUUCAGUUUCUGAGUAGGAGCAUCACCUGGGGAACUUUCAUUUUGUCUUGUCGUUUGCUCGUGUGUGUGCAUCUCUUUUGUAUUCAUUCAAAUUUCAGUUUCUCACAACUUCUGAUCUGACAUGGUCCUUACUCACCACAACCUGUGCAUUUUUAUGGUAGAAACACUCUUAGCAUUCAUGGUACAAUUUAAGCAGUGUCAUAGGUAGAUAAAGGUGUAACGUGUAAUCUUGACUUUGAUGCAUAGUCAUGUAUUAAUUAAGUAGACACCAGUAUGGUGCUCCGUGGUGAAUGUCCAAUCCUGAUCUGUCUUCAAUGAAAACGCCAAUUCAUGUUUGUCUGUCAAUUAUUCUCCAGCUUUUGUUAUCUUUAGGCCUAUGGAUAUGUUUGGAUUGGAGAGUUUUGAAUGAGUACGGAACUGCAGUAAUAAUAAGGGCUCACCGACUAAGGGAAAGCAUUUUGAUUCAUUGAAAAGUAAGAUGACAUGAAAAUAGUUCUCACUUAAGAGCUAACUUUUGAAGUUGAGUUCAAUUUAAAUUUUAAACUAAUAUCAAGUCUCUCUUAAAAUGAUUAGUUAUUACACAUGUCUAAUAUUGUAACUUUCACGUUUGAGACACCAUAAUAGGCUUAGACAGCAACAGGACAUUGCAUGUGUGGCUUAAAUGGUUUUCCUUUCUUACAUGUGGUGGUCACUGGUCAAUGACUUGGAACAAUGGGUUCCACAACAUAAACAAUCGUGCAGUAUGGAAUUGGACUUAAAGGUCGUGUAAUCGUAUUGUCUGAGGUACUGCUAAAGUAGUCCCACUCUUUCAGUAUUUAUUGAGUUGGGGGCCAUUCACGCCUACGUACUUGAUCUUGGAAGAUUACACUGUCUUCGGGUGUGUGGUGUACAACACACAUACGUUCAAUUCCAUCUUGUACAUUUAGUUGCACAUACAUGCUGCACCAAAACACUCUUUCUAGUUCUCUAAUAAUUUCAUUUUGGUAGCUAGUAAUAUGCUUAGCAGCAGUUGUUGCUUUACAUUGAAAUUUCCAUGUCUACGCCAUGCAAUAAUUCAGCCAGGUUUGUAAAUUACAGGCCGAUAUCUGAUGUCUCCAGUGAUCUCACCAUUGAAGUAGGAGCUUCAAGCUUUGCACUUCACAAGGUAAAAAAAUUACAACUUGCCUUUCUGAUAGGCUACUUCAUAUUCAGCAUAGUGAUCUUUCCCUCUCAUAGUUAUUUCUUUGUAUAUAAAUCACAUUUUCCUGUGCAGAAUAUAUCAGCCAUAUGUAUGAAUAUAAAUGCUUUUCUUUUUGUGCACCAGUAAUCCCUCUGAAGAGAAUUUCAAGUUCAACUAUAGUACAGUAGAGUAGACAUUAACAGCUGGAGAUAAAAUCGUGAAUAUAUAAUCCAUGAAUCAUUUAAAAAAGGGAGGGGGAUUACUAUCCUGUAAGUCCUAAGUUGUUUGAUUUUUUUUUUCUACAGUUUCCUCUUGUUUCUAGGAGUGGAAGGAUUCGGAAGAUCCUGUUAGAAGCAAAAGAUUCAAAAGUUUCACGGAUUAGUCUCCCAAGCGUGCCAGGUGGUGCAGAGGCAUUUGAGCUGGCUGCCAAAUUCUGUUAUGGAAUCAAUGUUGAGUUUACCCUCUCCAAUGUUGCCAUGCUAAAAUGCGUAGCUCAUUUUCUAGAAAUGACAGAAGAGUUCUCAGAGAAAAACUUGGAGACACGAGCUGAAGUAUAUCUAAAGGAAACGGUGCUACCAAAUAUAUCAAACACAAUAUCUGUUCUUCACCGUUGUGAAACUCUUAUCCCCACUUCAGAAGAGAUUAGUCUUGUCAGCAGACUAAUCAAUGCAAUUGCAAAUAAUGCAUGCAAAGAACAGCUCACCACUGGUUUACAAAAGCUGGACCACAACUUCCCUUCUAAAACCACUACAAACAUGGAACCCGAAACACCCACAGAAUGGUGGGGAAAAUCUCUCAAUGUUCUUAGUCUUGAUUUCUUCCAAAGAGUUUUGUCUGCAGUGAAGUCAAAGGGACUAAAACAAGACAUGAUCAGCAAAAUUUUGAUAAACUAUGCACAUAAUUCUCUUCAAGGGAUUGUUAGGGACCACCAUGCAGUGAAAGGGUGUUUUCCCGACUUGGAAUUGCAGAAGAAACAAAGAGUCAUUGUUGAAGCCAUUUCUGGCUUACUACCAACACAAUCAAGGAAAAGCCCGGUUCCAAUGGCAUUUCUCUCAAGCUUGUUGAAAGCUGCAAUAGCUGCAUCAACAUCCACUUCUUGCAGAUCUGAUCUGGAGAGAAGGAUUGGUCUACAACUUGACCAGGCAAUUCUCGAAGACAUCCUAAUCCCAACAAAUUCACAUCAAAAUACCCAUGGCACUAUUUAUGACACGGAUUCAAUUUUGAGAAUUUUUUCCAAUUUUCUGAACUUGGAUGAGGAGGACGAAGAGGAUAAUAGUCACUUGAGAGAUGAAAGUGAAAUGGUUUAUGACUUUGACAGCCCCGGAUCCCCAAAACAAAGCUCAAUUCUGAAGGUAUCCAAACUGAUGGACAACUAUCUUGCUGAAGUAGCACUAGACCCAAACUUGUUGCCAUCAAAGUUCAUUUCCCUUGCUGAACUACUUCCAGAUCAUGCCCGUAUUGUGAGUGAUGGACUCUAUAGAGCUGUUGAUAUCUUCCUUAAGGUGAAAAAUUGCUUCUCCCUUUAACUACCAUUCCAUUGCAAGUCUUAAUUCUCUGGUAAACUACUAUUAUGUUAUUUGCUAGUUCUAGCUACCAAUUUAACGGUUCUUUAAAAUUUCAUUUACAUUAUUGUUCAAUUACAAACUGGUAUACAUAAUAUAAAGAAUUGAACUGUUCUAAUGAUAUAGGUUCAUCCAAACAUAAAGGAUUCAGAGAGAUACCGCCUGUGCAAAACCAUUGAUUGUCAGAAACUGUCUCAAGAAGCGUGCAGCCAUGCAGCACAAAAUGAAAGACUACCAGUGCAGAUGGCAGUGCAGGUUCUAUACUUUGAGCAAAUAAGGCUUCGCAAUGCCAUGAACGGAGGGCACAACCAAUUUUUCUUUGGAGGAAUGAAUGGUCAAUUCCCUCAACGUUCAGGAAGUGGUGCAGGAAGCGGAGCCAUUUCCCCAAGAGACAACUAUGCAUCAGUGAGAAGGGAGAACCGAGAGCUGAAGCUAGAAGUUGCAAGAAUGAGAAUGAGGCUCACUGACUUGGAGAAAGACCACGUUAACAUGAAGCAAGAGCUAGUAAGGUCUCACCCUGCCAACAAGCUAUUCAAAUCACUCACCAAAAAACUAAGCAAGCUCAAUGCUCUAUUUCGGAUCAACAGUAUUAAGCUAAAUGGCUCUGAGAGUCGCUUCCCUUUCCCCAAAAGAAGGCGUCACUCAGUUUCAUGACCAAAAAUAUGUACAUAUUUCCAUGUAUAGUAUGUAAGAAGAUGCAUGCAUGGCGUGAUUUGUCACUACUUAUUUUCUAGUGGAUAGUAUUUUUUGUUUAUGCUCCUUGGUUUGGUUGCUUUGUUUCGUAAUGAAAUCAUUGCUCAAACCUUGGAUGGACUAGUUUGAGGGUGGGAUGAUGCUCAACUAAACAACUAUCCUCUGGUUGAGAAUUUUUUACAAUAUUCUUAAGUGUAAUAUCUAUAGAGCUAAGCAUCUGGGAGCAGAGAACAGUUCAAAGACAUCACACUUUUGCCUUGUGUUCUCAGACACCAUGCAAGUUGAUUUGAUUAACAAAAAUUUUAGAUUAAGAAGUUCAAUGGGAGUAAUUUCUCCCCAUGAAAAUUAAAUAUAAAAGGAUUUAUGAGAAAACAAAAUUGCUUAAAAAUUAUUGAAGAUAGACCUAUUACUCAUGAAAAAUUGGAAUGAGAUGGACGAUAUUGUUGUUGUCAUUCUAUCCCUAAAGAUAACACAUUCAGUCUUGUCUGGUGUUGAAAUUGGAAAAGGAGAUUUGGAAUAUGCUCGUGAAAUUAUACGAGGUUAAAGUAUUUUUAUAAUAACUUUUUCUAUAAAGGAGACUCAACACUUUUUCUAAUGAGUGAAUUACCAUGGUUACAUAUCACAUCAACAAUGUAAAUAUAUAUUUGCUUAGUUGACAACUUCAAAUUUCAAAAUAGCAUAAAAUGAACGUGCAAAUUUUCUAUUUUAGAGUUAGACUGGUUCUCAACUCAUCAUAAAUAAAUAGUACAAUUUAUAUAGGAUUUCACAAUAGUGGUCAAUGAAACAUGAACUUAGUGGGAGUUAAAGUAAUCUAAAUCAAAAUCUUAGAAUGGAAAAACUUGAAAUGCUAUAAUUGUGGCACGAAUAACUCUGGAUGGUAUAUGAGUUAUGUUCUUAUGUUUUGAUGAAGUAACUUGAUCAUCUAGUUGUGUCAUGUUUGAUCUAAUAACUUUUUGAAGUUACAAUAUUAACUACAUCCUACGAGUAUUUGUAGUUCUAUUCACAUUAGAUAGUCUGAUGAAAGUGUUAAAAAAGUAACAUGUUUAAAUUACAAUUGUUAAACGAAAUCUUAUGAAAUUAUAUAUUUACAAAACAAUUUAAAUUAAAAAGUCAAUAGUAAAAAAUUUAUAUGGUGUAAUUUAAAAGAGAUGAAUUUAAAAGUUUACCCAAAUAAUUUAAGUGAGAGAUUAUUGGAAACAUGAGGCUAUUUUUUAUGACUUAAAAAAAAACCAAUAAAAUAUAUAAUAAAAAAAUCAAGUAAAGUCUCGAUUUUCAUAUUAUAUAGAAGAGUAAGUAAACAUGCUACAUGGAAGAAGAGUAACUAAAGGAAAACAAUUCUCUUCCUUUUAAGAAAAAAAACUAAAGGUUUGAUGCUCUUUAAUUUUAGUAUAAAUACAUGAUUGCUUCUCCAUUUUUAAAUUAUUCAAAUAGAUUGUAUAUUUCAUCAUAUUUCAGGAAUAUUACGUUAAAGAGAAGAAUUGAUAUAGGAAAAAAAGUAAAAUUUUUUCUAUAAAGUUUUCUAGUAUUAUUUUUAUUUUUCUACUUAAUAAAAUAAAAAUUUAAUUACAUUUUGGCUAAAUUAAACUUGAGUUUCAAUUUUUCUAGCUCUAUUUUAGUUACAAACUAUAUAUAUAUAUCCGCGCAUGCACAAGGUGAGUAACAUCAUUUUCACGUUGUUAUUAGUAGCUCCACCGACACAUUAUUUCAACUUUAUAGAUGAGUUGCAGGCAGAUCUUAUAAUAUGUUUUACGAAACAAGUUGUGUUAAUUAUUACAUCACGUUUUUUUUUUCUUGGUUUCAAUAAGCAAGCACUUAUUAAAAUAAAAAAACAACCCUUGAAGUAUGACCCAAUUCUUUCGCUUUUUCAUUCUUGAUAAAACCAAACAAUGUUUUAAUAUGAUGUUUGGGUGUGAGAGACAAACCAAACCCCUCAAUCAAUUGAUGCAAAGCAUGAACAAAAACUAGGUUUCGUAAAAUGUAAAUAUUAAAAUAUUUAAUUCUCAUACACAUUUAAAUGAAAUUAUAUUAUUUUUGGCUAUAAUGAUCGAAUUAAAACAUGUAAGAUAACAAAGCUUAUCAAUCGAUUUUAAGAUUUAUGUUACGGAAUGAAAGAAAUCUAGCACUUGAGUAUUGUUUUAUGUCGUUUUUAAUUGUUUCUAUGCCAAUUUUAAAAGAUAUAAAACCAAAUUAAAGACAAAAACUAAAAGAUUAAAAUAUAAUUUAGUUAAAAUUUUAUUAUAUUACACAAUAUACUUAUUCAAGAAUUUCCCUGUGAGGAAUUGGACAUGCCAUCAAAACAAACUUACACGUUUGUUAAUGUCAUAUCUGCUUUAAAUUAAUUUUAUUUUAAGAACGAAAAUUUAAAAGACUAUUUGAUUCAAAUUAAAAUAAUAUUUUUUUUAUGAUUGGUCGAUCAUUCCAUGAAUGUUUGCUAAAAGUUCACGAAAAACAAAUAUAAUUAAAAUAGUUAAUUAUUAAAUAAAUUAUAUUUUUCUAAAAUAAUAUCAAAAGGGGCUUCAUGGCCCAAUGGAUAAGGCGCUGGUCUACGGAACCAGAGAUUCUGGGUUCGAUCCCCAGUGAAGUCGAAAUCAUCUUAGAUUUUUUUGUUUAACUAACCGUUAGGUUUUUUUCGUACAGAUGACGGCGUCGUUUUGCAGCGUUGGUUUUUGUUUAUACUAACCCUUGUCGAAAGGCACGACGUCGUAUCACUGCGAUUCUCCAGGCAUUGGAUUCCUUUUAUAGAUUGAUAUAGGGUUGUAAUGACGGUGUCGUUUUGCAGCGUAAUGAAGAGAAAUUCCAAAUUGAUGAUAAAGGUUCCUUCUUGCCACUUGGGUAUGUUCGACUCUGACAUUUUUCUAUAUGCUAUCCUCUUUCCCAAUCCCCAAUCGCAUGUGUUUUGUUAUGUUAUUAUGAAGUACUGGACCGUGUUGAUAACUAAUGCAUCAUGCAUUCUAUUAUAUUUGUAAGUCAUACACUCAUUUUAAGCCAAUCAAUCUUUUUCAAUCUAUGUAGUAAUAUUUCUAUAUUGUGAGAGACACCACUGAUUAACUUUUAAUCUUUACCUUAUAUAUGUGUGUUUUUGUAUGACUUUGACUUAAUAAGGUGGUUCUUCUUAGCACUUGGACAAAAUUGUGGUUGGAAGGUAAUUUAAGGUGGUAAGAUAAGUUCCUAUCGAAAACUAGGUAUAUAUAUAUUGUUGAAGCUCUAUUAUUGUUGGCCCUUCCAACAAAACUGAAAGGUACAGUGGCAUCUGCGUUUGUAGAAAUUAGUGCAGAUCAAAAGUAGGUGGUGGGUAGUGCGAGGUCAGUUCUUGGCAUCACACUGGGGACUAGGGAUUCCUCGACAUCUGGUUCUGCUUGUGAACGUGAUGUUUGUAUAUAUUUUCUUUGUCCUUUCACUGUGACCAUUCUAUUAGGAUCUCCCACGUAUACGCUGAGGAAUAUGUAUGAGAAAGCUAUACUAUGCCAUCCUCCCCUUUGACAGAUAUUUAUAUCAGUGUUUUGGUGUCUUGCAACCUCCUUAUUAAGAAGAAUUUGAGUUAGAUGAGGAAAUGUUUUGUAGAAGCUUUUGAUUCACUUCGUAGCUAGACUAAUUGGGUAUAGAAAUUAUUUCAUGCAUUGCACAGAAAUUAAAUAACAGUCUUACAUAAUUGCAGGGAUUUAUAGUGACUCUUGUUUGUUUAUUCAUUUAUGGAUUACAGUCUAAGAAAUCUUCGAGGAGUAAACAUACACAAAUCAUUAACAUACAUAUUUACAUGAUCUAUCAUUCUUUUUUUAUUUUUAUACACAUUUCAAAUUCAAAUUCCCUGCCUGGUUUUUCUUACCCUGUUUAUUUUUUUCCUUUUUAGGAGCUUUUUGUGGUUAAGUGCCAUUUUUAUUUAUUUCAUUUUUAGAGUCUUAGAUUAUGAUUUGUAGAAAAAUAACUUGUUUCUCAUAACUUUUGCUCAAAUAAUAUUUUCGGAUUCCUAACAGAAAAUCAAAUACACUAUAACUUGUUUAUGGAUCAAGCAAUCUGAGAUGCCUUUAUUGGUUUGGUUUAAUAAACUAAAAUACAUCAUUACUCUUGUACUUGAAUUGAGAUACCUAGUAUAACUCAAAUGCAAACACUUUUAUUAUACACACUUUUAUUACUCACCUCUUUGUAUUGGUCUGACUGAACUAUAUCCAACUUAAUGUUAUUUAGAAAACUAAGCUAUCGUUUUUAUAACUUUUUUGCCUUUUAUGCAGGGUGAGUAUUUGUCAAUUUUCUCGUACGAUGUUAAUUUUUCAUCCAAACGCCAGCUUUUAUGAAAAUCACAAUAUAUUUCCUUUUAUAAAUGAAAUGAGCUUUGCAUUUGAUAGCAUGCGCAUGCCUUGGCCCAUGGUCAUGUCAGGCGUAGACUUGACUUACAUUACACAAAAAUUGAGAAUGAAGUUGUGUACCAGAAGAAGAAGCGAAGAAUUAAGAGUACGAACAGACUAGAAAAAGCUAUCACUAAACCUGAUAUAUAGUUGUCAUAGCUAGGCUGGUAACUACAUAGAAAUAUUAUUAGCUUUAAGAAAACUAGAGCCUCCUUUGUUUGAUCCUCUGAGGUGAUUUUGCAUUGCAUGGUUAUGUACUCCAAAUAAAUAUAGCUCCAGCCCUUAAAAGCAACUGGGCAAGCUCGUUUUGGACGUUGAGCCUUAUGAGUUCAUCAGCACCACCUAUAAGUUGUUGUCCAAUGAACACUGCUGGUACAGUUGGGCGACAACCCAGCUGAAUCAGUGCCCUCUCUAUUUGCUGUCCAUUUGCCAUGUUGUCAACCUCUAUAACGUUCAUGUUGGCACCAAAGCUGCGUAUGAGAGCCUUCACAGAAUGGCUAAUGCAGCAAUUGCUCUUGCUGAAGAUCACCACUGGCUUAUCAGCAUACAAAGAUGCCAGUAAGUCCAUUGCCACAAAAUCUGAGUAUUUUAAAGGUUAACUCUUAACUACGGUACAAGGGGCUUGAAGAAUUUUUGUUUUGCUCUGUUGAACUUGAGCUCCAGAGAAGGUCUAUUUAUAUUAGCUUCAGCUGGUUUAUUCUGGUAGCUGUGCAUGUAGAAUAACAUCUAAAAAAAGGUUCUAAAAGUUUUGUAGUUAGUGAAUUCCUAAUAUUCCUUCCUUGAUUGUUUGAUGGUAACCACCCAUAUGCUUUGCCAAAAUGAAUGAGGAGCAACUUAUGGUCGCCUCAUUGUAUCCAACCCAUGAUCGUGGCUAUGUUAAGCUUAUAGCUCCAUUGCCAAUCCAAAAGAAAGAUCUUUAGUCACUAACAUAUUGUUAAAACAAGUGCAGGGGAAUUUAGCACCCUGGAUUUAAAAAUGUAGCAACAUCUAUAGCAUGUUUGCUUUUGUGUUUUACUAAAGAGAGACUCGUGUUAGAAGCUGCAAAGAGUGCUUCUCCGUUGAACGGGGAUGUGAUAUGCUGCAUGUACCUUUCAUGUUAGAUUUCCAAAUACAAGCUUACCCUCUUGUAGGGAAUGGAGGAGAGAAAAAUGUGAAAUUUGAAUUGGAAGAAAAAUAAAAAGAAAGAAAUUUCUUAAUUUGUGUCUACAAGUAAAUCUUUUCUUCAACACAUGAUUUUUGUUUUUUCCCAUCUCUCUCUCUCUCUNNNNNNNNNNNNNNNNNNNNNNNNNNNNNNNNNNNNNNNNNNNNNNNNNNNNNNNNNNNNNNNNNNNNNNNNNNNNNNNNNNNNNNNNNNNNNNNNNNNNNNNNNNNNNNNNNNNNNNNNNNNNNNNNNNNNNNNNNNNNNNNNNNNNNNNNNNNNNNNNNNNNNNNNNNNNNNNNNNNNNNNNNNNNNNNNNNNNNNNNNNNNNNNNNNNNNNNNNNNNNNNNNNNNNNNNNNNNNNNNNNNNNNNNNNNNNNNNNNNNNNNNNNNNNNNNNNNNNNNNNNNNNNNNNNNNNNNNNNNNNNNNNNNNNNNNNNNNNNNNNNNNNNNNNNNNNNNNNNNNNNNNNNNNNNNNNNNNNNNNNNNNNNNNNNNNNNNNNNNNNNNNNNNNNNNNNNNNNNNNNNNNNNNNNNNNNNNNNNNNNNNNNNNNNNNNNNNNNNNNNNNNNNNNNNNNNNNNNNNNNNNNNNNNNNNNNNNNNNNNNNNNNNNNNNNNNNNNNNNNNNNNNNNNNNNNNNNNNNNNNNNNNNNNNNNNNNNNNNNNNNNNNNNNNNNNNNNNNNNNNNNNNNNNNNNNNNNNNNNNNNNNNNNNNNNNNNNNNNNNNNNNNNNNNNNNNNNNNNNNNNNNNNNNNNNNNNNNNNNNNNNNNNNNNNNNNNNNNNNNNNNNNNNNNNNNNNNNNNNNNNNNNNNNNNNNNNNNNNNNNNNNNNNNNNNNNNNNNNNNNNNNNNNNNNNNNNNNNNNNNNNNNNNNNNNNNNNNNNNNNNNNNNNNNNNNNNNNNNNNNNNNNNNNNNNNNNNNNNNNNNNNNNNNNNNNNNNNNNNNNNNNNNNNNNNNNNNNNNNNNNNNNNNNNNNNNNNNNNNNNNNNNNNNNNNNNNNNNNNNNNNNNNNNNNNNNNNNNNNNNNNNNNNNNNNNNNNNNNNNNNNNNNNNNNNNNNNNNNNNNNNNNNNNNNNNNNNNNNNNNNNNNNNNNNNNNNNNNNNNNNNNNNNNNNNNNNNNNNNNNNNNNNNNNNNNNNNNNNNNNNNNNNNNNNNNNNNNNNNNNNNNNNNNCUAUAUAUAUAUAUAUAUAUAUAUAUAUAUUAAUGUCUUAAUAAGAAGGGUAUAUGCGUGAGAUGGUAGGUAUAUUUUUGUUAAUCUAGCCCAAAGAUGUCACUAAAAUAUACACUAGGAUCGCACAGAAAAUGGGAGCAGAAAGCCUUAUGUAGGGGAAGAUGCUGAGAAGACGUUCUGCGUUUUAGAGCAUAUGAAUUUUACCGAACAGUGGCAAACUGUGGCAUAUUCCUACCAAUCUUCCAAUGGGUGGUAGUAUAUUAUUGAGUUAUUUAUGUGCUCCAAAUACAAAAGUAUUGGAUAUAAGUAGGUUUACAUUAUUUGCUUCCCCAGUAAUUUUAGGUAACUUUAUAAGGAUCAAUCACCCUUUCUUAGGCAUCUUUGUUUGUUUGGUAUAAUUAGAAACUUUUCUAGACAACUUUAAUCUCAUACAGAGGUUAAAUUCUCUAUAGGUAACUCUUUUCUAUGAAAUUUGAUUAUUAAGGAAUGAAAGUUGAAUCUAAGAGAAAGGUGAAGGUGAAACUCCAUGGGAGGAAGAGAAGUAGCUAAAGGAGUAAGUGACGUUUUCAUGUUGUUGCCAUGUGCCAAUAAUUAUUUCAAUCGCAUAGGGUUAAUCUAUAUCUUAGGAUAAAUAUGAUAAAAUCAGAUGAAAAGUUAUGAAAAACAGUCAUUACUGAAAUCGUAAGUAUAAAAUCUCCCUUAGAAGAAGUAACAUUUCUCAAAAUAGAAAAUAGAAUAGUAAUCUAGCCUUUUAAAAUGAUUACUGAAAAAGAAAAAUUAACAUAAAAAAUAUUCAGAACAUUGAUAAAAGCAAAGAAGAAAGUUAGAAAAAAAAAGUAAAAAUACGAAAAACGAUACAAUUUUUAUGCUUAAAAUUUUCUCUUUCUCUACAUUGACACUAUUUUUUUAAAGAAAAUUAAUAAAUUAUAUAUAAUUAUGUAGGUAAACUAUAUUUUAAUAUAUAUAUAUAACACUUACAAUUUCUUUAUUAAUUAUUAAUAUUAAUUUUCAUAUAAUAAUAAAAUAAAUAAUAAAUAAAAUAUUAAUUUUAAUUAUUAAUACAUAUUUUUAUUUAAUUUAAUAUUAAUUUUUUAUUUUAAAUUAUUUUAAUUCUAAUAUAUAUUUUUAAUAUUUUUUAUAAUAAAUUCUUUAAUAGUUUUUUAAAAAAUUUAUUAUUUAUCAAAUUUGUAAACUUACAUUUUAUGCAUUUUAAAAAAUUAAAAAAAAUCUUUUUCAAUAUCACAUCAAUUACAAAUUUCAAUAAACUUUUUUUACAAAUCUCCUCUAAUAUAUCCCAAUCCAAACCAUCUCACUUUUCUAUCAAAUCAUUAUAAAUCCUCUUUCUCAAAUUCCCUCCCUAAUCCAUAAGUAACAAUAAAUGAAUAAGGCGUAGAAAAACCUUAUGGAGAAAAUUCAAAAAAUAAUAAUCGAAUAGAAAAGAUAAUAAUCUUUAAUAAAACCUUUUUAAGUUUUCAAAAGAAGAAUUAAGAGACUUAAAAAUAGGGAAAAAAAACUAACUAACACGGCUUUGGACAAAAUAAAUUAAAGAUUACUCUAGUAGAAGAAAAAUGAUUUGUAUUGUGUCAAUUGAUAUCUCUUGGUUUCAUUAAACUAUUUUAGUUGUGCUUGAUUUCUUAAAAUUGUAGUUUCAAGCCGAUUUUUUCAAUAUAACAUAAGUCUAUAUUAAAAUUUUGUAAAUUGAAGUAGUUAGAUAGAAAGUAUGAUAGGUACAAAUCACUCUUUCCUACUUCAUAUGUUACUGGUAUCUUAAUUGAUGUUAUUUAGACUUAAAUUUGUUUUUGUGUCUAUUUUGUAUGUCUACCUUAAGUCAUUUGUUGUGCUAAUUGACAUGUGUUGACAUUGGAUUUCAUAUUGUUCAACACUGAAAUUGUGACAGCUAAAGAAAAGCAACUUAGAAUUCCAUUAUUUUGUUUUUUUUAUUAUGUUAUGUUUUGUGAAUAAUUGGAAUGUUUUCAAAACAAAUAGGACAUGAAAUGCAAAGUGAUAAUGCAUAUAAUAUAUUUCAGGGUGUAGAUUUGAUAGUAACAAAUUCAAAUUGUUCGAAUAGAUAUUUAUUGGUGAGAUAUUUAAACUUUUGUUCUAUACAAUUCUUUAAGACAAAGUAUGUUAUGCUCUACAUCUUUCCAUGGUCAACAUUAAAAACUUGGCGACUACACUAUUUUUUUUUUAUCAUCUCUCAUUCUAUUUUUAAUUUUGAUAAGUUGUGUCAAAAUUAAUAAUCUUUGAAAUUAUGAUUUUCGAAUAUAAAUUUUAUUCAUUCUAAAUUUUUUAAUUUGUUAUUAAAUACCGAAAUUGAAUUAUCAGUCAUAUUACUUUUUCAUAUUUAAUUACAUGUAUCAAAACAAUGUAAUUUUGUAAAUUAUUUUUAUUCAAAAAUUUAAAAUCAUGGUCGCAUUUAUAUAAAAAUAUCAUGUGCAUUGCACGUACUCAGAGCACAAAUUCUCUUCAUCCAAAAAAAUCUUGUCUCCAACUAACCAUCUUCCCAUCCAACUUUUUAAGUAAGAAGGUGUUCAAUAUAUACACAAUGAUAUUAAAGUUUUUAUUUUAAUUCAGUUAAAAUAUCUUCCUUCUUGCAUUUAUUAUGAUAGAAAAUUAACUAGCCAAUAGUUUUAUACAUAUUUGAAAGAAAAAUAAAACAACCAACAUACCAAUAGUGUAUUUUUGUUAUUGUAUCGGUAAGUACCAAAUGAGUUUUUCUCGGUCUCGAGUCUAAAAACAUAAAAGAAUAGAAAUAAAAGUCCAACAACAACAUGAUGACAUUGAAUGAGUCAACCCACAUUCUGGAAUAUGCGAAAAAUAUCUCCAACGUAACAAACUAUCUCUAACGUAACAAACAAAACCGAAUAAACUAAAAGAUACACCUCAAAUAUGAAGGAACUGCCAUGCACGUCAGUUAACAAUUGAUCCAGCCCAUAAGGAACAAAGUCCAUAAAUCAAGCACUAUAAAUAGAGCCUUCUAUGGAGAAGUAAGGUACGUUUUUGACAUUCUAUAAAAGUAUACCUAAAUUCUAGCACUGACUUGACUGUCAGAGUGCAAUCACAGGCACCUCCCGACCGACCGAGCAUCAAUAUUGAAGGAAGGAGGCUUAAAGACAUUUGGAGAUCAUCGACACGUCAACAAUUGUGCAUUCAAUCACAAGUACUAUCUAGGCCCCUUAGCCUAUACAUGUACAAUUGGUGCCCACCGUGGGGCCGAGAUAUUACUCAAUUUCCAGUAGGAAAUAGAAGCCAACAACAAUGAUAUCAACAAGGAACAACACUAACAAUGAUCGUACAACAAAUGAGCAGAUAGCUAUGAUCCAAGCCCUUCAAGCACAAAUGGAGGAAUUGCGACAAAAGGGGAUUGCAGAUCAACUACGUAUUGAGGAGGAUCGACAUCGACAUGAGGAAGAGAUGUCCCUUUUGAAAGAACAAAAUAAAUGUUUGCAGCAAUGACUUGAUGGACAUGAGUAGAAAGAACAAUCCCCGAGCACCACCAACCCAUCAAACCCAUCCAACCCAUCAAACAUAUCCACCCGCACCAACUCUUCAAACCCAUCAAACUCACCAAAGCUCCAGAAACAAUCAUAUCCCGAAUGAUGAAGAGGACCCAAGAGUACACCCGUUCACAGAUGAGAUUAUUGACACACCAUUUCCCGCCAAAUGGAAAGGGUUAACCAUCAAACUGUUCCAUCG